rnacentral:lncRNA from 1 species
AUUUUGAAUCUACUUGUUUUAAUUGUGGAAUAGUUGGCCAUACUCCUAAUGCAUGCUAUGUUAGAAAUUUUAGCAUAGCAAGUGGGCAUUAUGUAUGGGUAAAGAAAGGAACUAAUUAUGAAGGACCCAAAGUAAUUUGGGUACCUAACAAAACGUUUGUUUUGUAGGUAUGCUUGAAAACCACAUCAAACCUUUGGUAUCUUGAUAGUGGUUGUUCCAAGCAUUUGACGGGAGACAUUAGCAAAUUUUCAAAUCUAGCAUUAAAGGCCAAGGGUUAUGUCACUUACGGUGAUAACCAAAAAGGGAGAAUUCUUGGUAUAGGCAAAGUUUGAGCAGCACCUUUCAUAUCCAUUGAAGAUGUCCUUUAUGUUGAAGGACUAAAGCACAAUCUUCUAAGCAUUAGCCAAAUUUGUGACAAAGGCUUCAAAAUCAAGUUCACCAAGGAUGAAUUCUUGAUUGAAGAUGAAUUAUCUCAUAAGGUAAAACUCAAAGGUACGAGAUUUAAUAAUAUAUUUAUGAUUUCCCUCAAUGAUGUGUCUUUGAAGGUAAAAUGUCUUAUGGCAAACAAUAAUGAGUCUUGGCUUUGGCAUAAAAGAUUCGCUCAUAUUCAUAUGGAACAUUUGAAUAAACUAAUAAAGCAUGAUCUUGUUAUUGGAUUGCCUAAGAUAAAGUUUGUCAAAGAUAGAUUAUGUGAUGCAUGUCAAAAGGGAAAAAACCAAAUCAACUUUCACAUCAAAGAACGUGGUGUCCACUACAAGGCCAUUACAAUUGUUGCAUAUGGACUUAUUUGGUCCAUCAAGAACAAGAAGCUUCGGAGGUAAUGUGUAUCCUUUAGUUAUUAUUGAUGAUUUCUUUAUAUACACUUGGACAUUCUUCUUAGUGAAGAAAAGUGAUGCAUUCAAGGCGUUCAAGAAAUAUGCAAAGCAAAUUCAAAAUGAGAAAUGUCUAUCUAUUGCCUCCAUAAGAAGCGACCAUGGUGGAGAAUUCCAAAAUGCCUCCUUCGAAGAGUUUUGCGAAGAACAUGGAAUAUUUCAUAAUUUCUCGGCACCAAGGACACCUCAACAAAAUGGAAAGGUGGAGAGAAAAAAUAGGUCACUUGUGGAACUUGCAAGAACAAUACUUAGCGACUCAAAUAUUCCAAAGUAUUUUGGGGCGGAUGCGGUAAGCACAACAUGCUAUAUAAGUAACAGAAUUAUUAUUAGACCUAUCUUGAAAAAGACCCCCUAUGAACUCUUCAAAGGAAGGAAACCAAACAUCUCUUACUUUCAUAUAUUUGGAUGCAAAUGCUUUGUCUUAAACAAUGGCAAAGACAACCUUGGUAAGUUUGAUGAAAAUUCCGAUGAAGGUAUUUUUCUUGGGUAUUCCAUCUCUAGUAAAGCAUAUAGAAUUUAUAAUAAACGAACUUUAACUAUUGAAGAAUCUACGCAUGUUUCUUUCGAUGAAACUAACCAUCCCAAGGAGGAUGUUGCUUUGUGUGAUGAUGAUGAUAAUGUAGAUCCUCAAGAAGAUACUUUCAAAGGCAUCAAUGAUAAUCAAAUGGAACAUCAUGAAGAACCAAUUCAACAAGACUCAAAUGCGAAUCAUCUACCUAAAGAAUGGAGAACUCAUAGAGAUUAUCCAAUUGAUAAAGUCAUUGGUGAUAUUAGUCAAGGCGUUGCAACAAGAUUAAAUCUCAAAGAUGCAUGCUUAAAUAUGGAGUUUGUUUCACAAAUUGAACCUUCCAAAGUUGAUGAAGCCAUAGGAGAUGACCAAUGGAUAGUUGCUAUGCAAUAAGAGUUAAACCAAUUUGAAAGGAAUCAAGUUUGGGAACUUGUCCCUAGGCCAAGUGGUAAGCACAUCAUAGGUACCAGAUGGGUGUUUAAGAAUAAGCUUGAAGAGAAUGGUAUAAUUGUUCGAAACAAGGCAAGGUUGGUGGCCCAAGGAUACAAUCAAGAGAAAUGCAUUGAUUUUGAAGAAACAUUCGCUUCGAUUGCAAGGUUAGAAGCUAUCAGUUUAUUACUUGCUUAUGCAUGUUCAUUAAACUUUCAGUUAUUCCAAAUGGAUAUCAAGAACGCCUUCUUGGAUGGCUACAUCAAUGAAGAAGUCUAUGUCAAACAACCCCUGGGCUUUGAAGACUUCAAUAAUCCUUCACAUGUUUUCAAGUUGAGGAAAGCUCUUUAUGGCCUAAAGCAAGAGCAUGGUACGAUCAUCUCAGCAACUUUCUUUGUGAAAAGGGAUUUGAAAAAGGUAAAGUUGACAAGACCUUGUUUAUUAAGAAAAUAAAAGGUAACACUUUCUUGGUUCAUGUCUACGUUGACGACAUCAUAUUCAGCUCAACAAACAAUGAAAUGUGUGAAGAAUUUUCUUCAAUGAUGUAAGGAGAAUUAAAAAUGUCCACGAUGGGUAAGAUGAACUAUUUUCUUGUACUCCAAAUUAAGCCACUAAAGGAUGGAAUCUUCAUCAAUCAAUCAAAGUACUGCAAAGAGUUAUUGAAAAGAUUCGACAUGGAUAGUUGCAAGGAAAUGUCUACUCCAAUAGGAUCCGGAUUUUAUGUUGAUCAAGAUGAAUCAGGUGUUUCAAUUGACAUCACAAAGUAUCGAGGUAUGAUUGGUUCCUUACUUUAUUUGACGGAAAGUCGUCCUGAUAUAAUGUUCAGUAUGUGUAUUUGUGCGUGUUUUCAAGCCAAUCCAAAGGAAUCGCAUCUCACCGCUGUUAAAAGGAUCAUGAAGUAUCUCAAAGGAACAACAAAUGUCAGCCUAUGGUAUCCUAAAGGUAGUAAGAGCACCAGGUGCAUGCCACAUUCUUGGAAAUGCACUAGUAUUGUGGGCUUGCAAGAAACAAGCAUGUGUUUCCCUUUGCACUACCAAAGCGGAAUACAUAGCAGCAGAUAGUUGUUGUGCUCAAAUACUUUGUCUUAAGCAACAACUUUGUGACUAUGGACUCAAUAUUGGAUGCAUUCCUCUAUGUUGUGGCAACACAAGUGCAAUAAACAUUACAAAGAAUCCGGUCAUGCACUCAAGAACCAAACAUAUCGACAUUCGGCAUCAUUUUCUUCAUGAUCAUGUGCUUCAAGGAGAUGUCGAAGUCACAUUUGUGAAUACUCAUAAUCAACUCGCCGACAUCUUCACAAAACCAUUAGCAUGAGAAUCAUUUUACAAAAUUCGAAGGGAACUUGGGAUUUUAGAUGAUUGUGACAUUUGAUUCUUCAAAAACUAUUCAAUUCAAAUACAAAGGUACACUCUCUUCUUAUCCAAUAUAUUAUAUUUUUAAAUGUAUAUAUGUAUUUUCUUAGAUGAGUUUGAAGAAAAAGUCAAUUUUGUAUGUCCUUACAAUGCUUGUAUUACUUGUUUGCCUCACAUAAAGUUGCCAAGGGAUAUGUUAGAUCAUGUGUACUUGUUGACUUUUUAAAAUUCAUUGCAUGGCGAUCUUGGUGAAGUCACUGUUUUUAUCUUAAGGUAAUCUAUUACCACUUUAGGUGUAAUUGAUUACAUCACUAAGUAUGUGAUUCACUACUAUUUCUGUUUAUGAGGUAAUUGAUUACCACUUUGGGUGUAAUCGUUUACAUCACUAUUACGUGACUCCUUGUUGUCUAUGUUCUAUGGUGUAAUCGAUUACACCUCCCUGGGUAAUUAAUUACAUCUGAUCGUUUCAUAUUUUUUAAUUAAAUUUGUGUCAUUUGGAUAAGUGUUUUUUUUGUUAAAUAUUUAUACUAAAUGUUUUUACAACUCUCAUUUAUCACUUUCCAAUAUUCUCUUCCUCUAAACCCCUUCACUCUUCAUCUACCCUAAACCUUUAAACUUCUUCUCUCUCAUUUAUCUUCAUUAAACUCCAUUAAAACCCCACUUACAAACCUUUCUAUAUUUUCCAGUCUCUCUUUUCCAAACUCCUUCCAAACCCCAAACCGAAAAUCCUUUCUAAAAACCCUAACUUUUCCAUCUCCCAUGGCUCCAUCAAGGAAAGAUAAAGGAAAACCCCAAAUUGAUGAAGGUUGCUCAGAACAUCAAGAAUCUUCUCAACAUGCUCCAUCCCUCAAAACCAGGAGACUUAGGUUUGAUUUUCGGAAUCGGUCCCCUAUACUAGUGAAAUAUGGUAGCCUCUCCUCUUUCCCUUCUCAUAGUUUUGAUUUUCCGGAACUUUUGAGACGACAAAAAGUAUACUCUAUGGUUUUCGACUGUGGAAAUUUUUACCCAGAUUUGGUUAAAGAUUUUUAUGCAAAUUUGGUUGUUAUUCCUGGUGAUAAGCAUGUCCUAACUUCUAAGGUUAAGAAUACUAAAAUUAACUUGGAUUUAGAAGCUUUUGGGGUCUGUUUGGGAAUUCCGUAUAAGGGUCAAUCUUUUCAUCAUGGUUUCGUCCCCGAAUGGGAAGGUUAUAGUAAGAUGGACUAUUUCUUUCAUAUAUGGUGUGUCUCUCAGCAAGCUAUUAUUGGUAAGAAGAAUUCAGCCUCUUCCCGGGUACUUCUGUUUUCAAAGAAUUUGACCAUCAGUGAUAGGAUGCUUCAUUACUUGAUGCCUUAUGUUUUGAUGCCUAAACACUCAAAUCACUCUCAAAUUGGUGAUUUGGAAUUACAACUUAUGUAUGACAAAAAAAAUAAGAUUCAGGUUAAUUGGGCAUAUACCAUAAUGUACCACAUAAAUCAUCAACAAUCCCUAACUGAUGGAUUACCCUAUGCUAGGCUAAUCACCAAAAUCUUGGAAGGAUGUGGUAUUAAUCUGAAAAGGGAACCAGAGAAGAAGAUGACUACAAGAGAAUGUGAAAUCAACGCUUCAACAUCGGUUCGGAAUACCAAUAUCUUUUUGGACAUGAAUGGUAUGUAUAAAUACAAGGAUGAAUCCUCAACCUCUUCAAAUGCUACUCCACCGGCUCCGGAAGGUGGAUAUCCAAAUGAAGUCCUCUAUAAUAAAAUCUGCUCAGUUGAGACUAGCAUGAUGAAAAUUUAUCGUGAGCAAAAAUUUGAAAUGGAUUCUAUCAAAAGACUUUUGGAAAACCUUACCAAAACCUAAAACCCGGAUAUGAGUGAUGAAUAAGAAAGUGAUGAAGAUCAAGGAGAAUAUGAUGAGGAUAUGGGAAUGUCGGAAAGUGACUAAAGUGUUUUAAAAAUAACUAUUAUAUUUUUUUUCGUGUUUUCUUUUGUUAUGCUGAAUUUUUCUGUUUAGAAUUAUGUUUUAAUUAUUAUGAACAAUUUGGUUUUGUAUUAAAUCAUGUGUGUUAUGGUUAUUUUGCUAUUUGUGUAUGUGUCCAUAUUAUUUACCUUAUCAUCAUACAACAUGUAUGUGUUAUAUUGUUUUCGUCUUUCCCAUCCUCUUUGCUAAUGAAAAAGGGGGAGAAGAUGUAUUUUUGGUUGUUGUAUAUUGUUUGUCUCUCUAACAAUGUAGCUAGAAAAUCACUUUAAAAAUCCCAAUCUUGGAUCAAGGGGGAGCUGUAGCAGUAAAUUCAUGACCAUUAAGUUAUGGAUAAACUUAACGUCAAUAAAACCAGAGUCGCCACCGCACUUUUAUUGUUUCCAAAGGAAAAGGGAAAAAUACGAACAAAACCCAAAGAUAAGAAUUUUUCAAAUCAAAACUAAUAAAAUGCUAGAGAUUAUAGGUAAGGGGGUUGGUUACACAAAGGGAAGGUGUUAGCACCCAAAGUGUCCUAGGUACUCCUAGGGGACCCUUUUUUAUGUGUAUGUGUUUUCGUAUAAAAGAUGUUUGCAAUAAAUAGAGUGGGGGUGAGAAAAUAAUUCAUUAAUCAUAUUUUUGUGUUUGACAAGACCUUCGGAAUUGUGUCUACGUACCAACAUAAAAAUGAGGGAUUAAAACCUCGUAGUUCGUGGUAACAAUUUCAAAGUGAGUUGAUUUCUUUUAACAAAAGUUUAAGUUUUAGAAGAGGCACAAACGGCCUAAAAGAGUUUGAAUGGGUGUUAGUUCAUUUUGUAUUUUGAAAAUUUAAGUCAAGUAUGGUUAAGUUCAUUUACACGUUUGAUUAAGAAAAAUGAGUUAAAUAAUACAAUGGCAUAAGGCCAAAGUUUCUAAUUUGCAAUAAAGUCAAGGUUUAGAAAUCACAAGCAAAGAAGGUUUUGAAAGAGGGGAGAGAUUUGAAAUUUAAGAAGUGGGAGGAGAUGAAGAGACUAAUCCUAAGCAAAAAAUUUGAAAGUUAAGAGUUGAAAAGGUAUUACCAAUGGGAUGCAAUCCAAUAGACAAGAAUGUCAUAUAGAAACCCACUUUUCCUUUUGGACUUUGAAAUCGAGGAAUAUCAAUAAGCAAGUAAGAUGAAGAGCAAUGCAUCAAAUAAAGAUAGCUACAUCCAAGCUAGCAACUUCAUAGUCUUCUUCAAAAUCUCUCAUGUAUCAGAUGACAUACUCUUUGAAUGGCUCAAAAAUAGGCACUAGACACAGGUUCAAAGUAACAUUUGCAUCAAGACCAUGUAGCAGAUGAACUCAAGAGGGAUCUCAAUACUUGCAUCAGAUGAAAGUUCAAUUCACAAUGACUUGGCUUCAGAAAAGUCAUCAAGACCAUGUAGCAGAUGAACUCAAGAGGGAUCUCAAUACUUGCAUCAGAUGAAAGUUCAAUUCACAAUGACUUGGCUUCAGAAAAGUUGGCAUUGGCCAAGUCCUUUUGCAUAGGGAAUGUUGCCUAAUUCUAAGUCCAAGUCUCAGAUCAAAUCCAACAAUCCACACAAACAUUUUUUAGGGUUUUUGUUGUUAUUAUGUACAUUAAGGUCCUAAGACCACAAACACAAACAAAAUACACUAAUAAAUAUAUACAAUCACAAUAUAAUCAUAAUAUAUGGCUCAAAUGAGCAAAGUAAGAAUGGCAUUAACAUAAACAAGUUAAAUGGUAUGUAUAAUGGCAAAUGAUAAAAGAUCUUGAUUUUAAAGAGCAUAAGGUAAAUGACUUGAAAUUAAAAGUUAGUCAAAUGUUAGUUGAUUAGAUGUUAGUAUUGUUUUUACUUUUCAAUUUGUUUAAGUCAUUCUUUGGAGAACACUCAAUCCACUAUUCACAAGCAUGGAUCCUUGAACCAAGACAUCUUCCAAAGGAAGGAAAAAAGACCAAGUUUCCAUACAAUACCAGGAAAGGGGGAGACAUACAAUCUCACUUACUAGAAUACUAUCCUUUCGGGUCAAAAUUUAGUGUUAUGUUAAGCAAUCGUAAUUGGACUUAUGUAGAAGUCACAACUUUCUGAGGUCGGGAAAUAGAAAUUUUAGUGUUAAUGCAUGUUAGAGAUAUGGUAUAAUAAACCAUACUCCUAAAACAUACCACACUUAAAAGAAAAUGGCAAAAGGGUGGACCUAAUCUCAUCCAUAUGUGUAUUAGUUUAUCAACCAAUUAGCCUUAGGAUGUAGAGAUAUCAUAGGUCAAUGGAAUGAAUGGGAUAAGAGAAGAUUGAAGAUGAAGAGGGAGGGGUAAAUGAGACAAACUCAAAUUGGACAAGGGAAGGAUUUUAUCAAAUUAAAAUCAUUCAUUCAUUUUGGGAGAUGAAAUGUACAUUUCAUUAAUCCUCUAAAUCCAAUGAUUUUAAUCCAACAAAGUCAAAUCAACAUUGACCAAGGCCCAAGUACAAUAGUCAAACUUCACAAGUCAAUAAAAAUAGCUCAACAUAAUUUAUUCACAAUUAAACAAUUAAAAAUCAAUUAAAAAUGCAUUAAAUUAAAUUAUGAUUGAUCAAAAACCUAAAACCUCUUCAAAACACCAAAUAAAUGGCUAAGAGACUUAUCAUAGGUCAAACAAGGUCAAAGGACCUUGGAGAAAAAAUUUCAUUAUUUUUGGAAAUGCAAAAGUAUUUUUAAACAAUUAAAAAUAUGCACAAAAACAAUUAAAUCAUGAAAAACAUUAAUAUUGAUCCAAAAAAUAAUUUUAAUUUAGAAAAUGAAAGAGAAAAAUAUUUGAUUUUUUUUGUGAAAGUCCCAUAUUUUUUGGAUCAAUAUUAAAAUUAAUAUGAAUUAAUGAAAACAAAGCAAUUAAAAUGAAAAUUAGAAAUUAAAAAAAUACGUGGACCAUCUUAUCUCCCUCAUUAAUUGAGGUGGCAGAUUAGAUGGUCCCUAGCACGCGUUCCAUGUGGUCUUGAGUCAACUGCGCUGCAGAUGUGGUAAUUAAAACCAACGCCUAAGAUUAAAACAAAAUGAAUGGAUCAUGUGGUCCAGAGACUUGCCAACGCAUCGCCGGAGCCAGAGCUCUGGUGGACCUCACCAGACUGAUGCACCUUCAACCAUCACAAAAAUUAAAAAUCAAGACAUGGAUUUAAAGAAAAAAUGCUCAGGAGCUCGAAUCUGGCCUCAAUUUUGUCUAACUCCAAGUAUAUAGGAAGAUACAAGGAGUUGAAUUUUGAGAAUCACGAUCUGAGUUGCUUCGAUUUGACCUCUAAGCAACUCAAUCUUGUUACCUACAUUGAUAGGACUUCAGACAACCAAGAAUCAACAUGGAGAAAUAAGAGAGAAUCGAAGAGUGGAAAAAUCUGGAAAUUCACCUUCAAUGGAGCUUCAUAUUGGCACGAUCUUGCUCUCAAUUAUGCUUAGCCUUACUUCUGAUGCUUAAUGGAGUAGAAUAUUCGUCACUGACUAAGGUGAACAUAUUAAGGAUACACUCAAAGGGGAGAAUAUUUGUCAUCGAUUAAGAUGAACAUAUCAAGGAUAGACUCACCUGGGGACAUUAGGAAGAAUAUCCGUUACCGGUUAGGGUAAACAUAUCAAGGAUAAACUUCCUGAAAAAGAAGGGUAGGAAUUAUAUCUUAUCGGCUACUGGAUAGAAUACCAGAGAGAGAAUAUAUGUCAUCGGUUAAGAUGAACAUAUCAAGGAUAGACUCUGAGGGGAGAAAUAGGAAUUACAUCUAUCAGUUACUGGAUAGAAUACUAGAAAGAGAAUAUUUGUCAUCGGUUAAGAUGAACAUAUCGAGGAUAGACUCUGCAAAAGGGGAAGCAUGAUUUACAACUACCGGUUACUAGGCAGAAGACCGCAAAGAAGAGGAAAUCCGUCACCGGUUAGGAUGAACAUAUCAAGGAUUAACCUUAUGGGGAACAAAAUAGGGAUUACAACUACCUUUUUACUGGGUAGAAUACCAAAAUAAGAAUAUCUAUCAUCGGUUAAGAUGAACAUAUCAAGGAUAAACUCAGAAGGGAAAGAGUAUUCGUCAUCAGUUAAGAUGAACACAUCAAGGAUAAACUUCCUGGGAGACAUGAAAACGAAUCCGCUGGGGAGAAAGGGCUACUUUUGUCGGGUAUUGGGGAAGAAGUGAAAUACUUGCAAAUUGAGAAGAAUAUUACCAGUUAUUGGGUAAUAUACUCUCAAGGGACCAAAAGCAUCUCUCUAGGUAAGAUCUAGGAAGAAACGGUCAAUCAAAGACUCAACCCAAUGAGGAUAUAACUCAGGGGGAGUGAUUCCAUCCAGAUAACCAACUGGGGAGAAAACUAAAAUAAUGAUCAUCCAUGAGGAAAUAACCAAGUGGGGAAUGAGAAAGGUUAAAUUCUUUCUACUUAAAGGGUGACACUCUACAAUUGAAAUAGGACAGACACACCAAAUCUGUGUGGGGGGAAAGGAUACCACCGUAGCAGAGGAUCAGAGAAAUAGUGAAACACAAAGUGCAUUAUUAAUGCAAUAAUAAAAUCUAUGAAUGUAUGUGUAUAUCUAUAUGUAUAUACGAUGAUUAUGCUGACAAAACAAUCAUAAAUGAUACAAAUUUCAUUGGUAUGCAUCACCAAUACAAUACUUAUCCAAUCCUCACAGGAGGGAAGCAUCUUCUGCAAAGGAAAGAACAUGAAUCAUCUAUCUCGAAGGCCCAACCCUGGCUGCGGAAAAGGUUUGCCGAAAAACUGCAGUAUCAACUAUGCGGGGAAUUUCAGGUUAAUACCACAUUAAAUGGGAGACAACCUUGCAGAGGACUGAAAAUACUGCUCAAGAGUCAGGGCUAACAAAGGUCAUGGAUAACUUUGCUGGCGACUUUAGGGGAAACAAAGUUUGCUAAAUUUAUGCAACCUGUUGCGAUAAUGCGCCUACAACUCGAGGGAGGCAAUUACGAACUCAUCUAGGAAAAGAAAAAAAACUCGGCUGGAGAUGCUGAAAUGCUGCUAGGGAAGAAACAAAAAUCAAACCAACUUCUUGGGGUAAACCAACAAUGUUUCGCAUUUUAGGGCUUACCAUUUCUCGGACCGCUGUGGAUAUUUCUUAAAUGAAAUCGAUUGCUCUUUAAAAAUUAAUUGCUUUUAUUAUUUAAGAAAACAUGAUUUUUGUUUUAAAUUUUAAUUUCAAAAUGAUCACAAUAAAAUUUAAUUCCAUUUAGCUGAAUAAAUAAGAGUAGAAACAAUUGGAUAAAAAGUUCAACUGUAUUUAAUAGAAUGGUAGUCUGUAAAUGACAAGACUCCAUAGAUCUUUAAAAAAGUUUGAAAAAUGGUAAUUUACAUGGAAAAGGGCUACAUUGAAUACAAUGAUCACUAAUCCUUCGACCGCCUUCAAUAUCCACGGUGCUCUUGGCUUUGGCUGAAGAUGAAUCAGAACCAAACAUUGUGCUCAAGAAAGUCUUCAAGACUAGAGAUCAACAGCUUGUAGUUACUUGCCAUAAUCCUUAAUUUUUUUGCAUAAAUUGCCCCAAGGUGGGGUACUCAAUUUAUCGGGAUAAUUUUUCUGUUUUAUGUCUCUAACUUUUGCUUGGAUCGCCCUUUCGAGUCUUCAAUCCACUGAGACGCUCAUUUUUUGCAUAAGCCGUCCUUUCGGGUUUUCAACUUAGCGGGCUGUUCUUUUCUUUUUAGGCGAAGUAUUUCUUGACUGCAUCAGCAUUCACAGGACGCGUGAACUCUUCACCAUCCAUAGUUGUAAGAAUCAAAGCACCACUUAAAAAGGCUCUCUUAACAACAUACGGGCCUUCAUAAUUAGGAUUCCAUUUGCCCCUAGAAUCUGGUUUGAAGGAUAAAAUAUUCUUGAGCACAGGGUCACCUUCUCUGAAUACACGAGGCCUGACCUUCUUAUCAAAAGCUUUCUUCAUUCGCUGCUGGUAUAACUGACCAUGACACAUGGCAGUUGACCUCUUCUCUUCAAUUAAAUUCAGCUGGUCAUACCUGGUUUGACACCAUUCAGCUUCUGUCAACUUGGCUUCCAUCAGCACGCGCAAUGAUGGAAUCUCAACUUCUACCAGGAAUACAACUUCCAUGCCACAAACAAGUGAGAAAGGGGUUGCCCCUGUUGAAGUGCAGUUGGAUGUACGGUACCCAUGCAAAGCAAAUGGGAGCAUCUCAUGCCAAUCUUUGUACGCCACAACCAUUUUCUGAAUGAUUUUCUUGAUAUUCUUGUUUGCAGCUUCAACAACCCCAUUCAUCUUAGGUUUGUAGGGAGAAGAAUUAUGGUGUGCAAUCUUGAAGUCUUUGCAAAGAGCUUCCACCAUAUUAUUGUUCAAGUUAGAUCCAUUAUCAGUAAUGAUCUUACUUGGCACACCAUAACGGCAUAUAAUCUGAUUCUUGAUAAACCUCACAACUUGCUUGGUUACAUUUGCAUAUGAUGCCGCUUCAACCCACUUUGUGAAGUAAUCAAUAGCCACUUAAAUGAAACGAUGUCCGUUCGAAGCUUUAGGCUCAAUCAUGCCAAUCAUAUCAAUUCCCCACAUGGAGAAGGGCCAUGGAGAGGAAAUGACAUUCAACAGUGUCGGAGGAACAUGAAUCUUAUCUGCAUAGAUUUGACACUUAUGGCAUUUCUUCACAAACUUGCAACAGAUAGAUUCCAUUGUCAGCCAAAAGUAACAUGCUCUCAACACCUUCUUUGCCAUAGCAUGUCCAUUGGAGUGAGUACCAAAGGAACCUUCAUGGACUUCAGUCAUCAAUAAAUUUGCUUUGUGUCUAUCCACACAUCUGAGUAGAACCAUAUCGAAGUUUCUCUUGUAAAGCACAUCACCAUUCAGGUAGAAGUUGCCAGCUAACCUUCUCAAAGUCUUCUUAUCUUUCAAAGAUGUCCCAGACGGGUAAAUCUGACUUUGGAGAAAACACUUGAUAUCGAAAUACCACGGCUUUUCAUCCUUGAUCUCUUCAACAGCAAACACAUGAGUUGGCCUAUCAAGACGUAUCACAGUCAAAUUAGAAACUUUGUUCCAAUUCUUCACCACAAUCAUUGAUUCCAACAUUGCAAGAGCAUCUGCCAUCCGAUUUUCAUCUCGAGGGAUAUGAUGAAAUUCAACCUUUGUAAAUAAAUUUGAAAUCCUCCUCGCGUAAUCUCUAUAUGGUAUCAAACCGGGUUAAUUCGUCUCCCAUUCACCUUUGAUCUAAUUCACAACCAAAGCUGAAUCUCCAUAGACAUCCAAAUACUUGAUUCUGAGAUCAAUGGCCUCUUCAAGCCCCAUAAUUCAAGCUUCAUACUCAGCCAUAUUAUUGGUACACUUGAAAGUCAAUCUAGUUGUAAACGGAAAAUGAGUUCCUUGAGGAGUAAUAAUCACUGCCCCAAUGCCAUUACCAUACUAAUUAACAGCUCCAUCAAAUACCAUGCCCCAACGAGAACCGGGUUCUGGCCCUUCUUCAAGCAAUGGUUCAUCGCAAUCUUUCAUCUUCAACUAUUAGAUCUCUUCAUCAGGAAAAUCAUACUGCACUGACUGAUAAUCUUCAAUAGGUUGGUGUACCAAAUGGUUAACCAAGACACUACCUUUAAUUGCUUUCUGAGAUCGGUAUUCAAUAUCAUACUAUGAUAACAACAUCUGCCAAUGGGCAACCCUCCUAGUUAAAGCAGGCUUCUCAAAAAUAUACCUCAUUGGAUCCAUUUUGGAUAUCAACCAAGUGGUAUGAUUUAACAUAUAUUGACGCAGACGUUUAGCAGCCCAAGCCAAUGCGCAACAAGUCUUUUCAAGCAUAGAAUACCGAGUCUCACAGUCGGUGAACUUCUUACUCAGGUAGUAAAUAGCAUAUUCUUUCUUUCCAGUUUCAUCUUGCUGACCAAGAACACAACCCAUACUUUCAUCAAGCAUAGUCAGAUACAUGAUCAACGGUCUUCCUUCAACAGGUGGAGACAGAAUCGGUGGCUCAAGCAGAUAUUCUUUGAUACUGUCAAAAGCUUUCUGGCAAUCAUCGGUCCAAUCACAAGACUGAUCUUUCUAAAGAAGCUUUAAUAUAGGCGCACAUGUGGCAGUCAUAUGCGAUAUAAAUCUCGAGAUAUAAUUCAAGCGGCCAAGAAAACCUCUGACUUGCUUCUCAGUUUUUGGUGUUGGCAUCUCUUGUAUUGCUUUGACCUUGGUAGAAUCAACUUCAAUACCUUUCUCACUGACAAUAAAGCCCAACAACUUACCAGAACGAACACCAAAAGUACACUUAUUGGGAUUCAAGCGAAGUUUGUACUUCCUCAAACGCUGGAAUAGCUUUAACAAAUGCUCAAUAUGUUCUUCUUCAUCACUUAAUUUAGCAAUCAUAUCAUCAACAUAGAUUUCAAUCUCUUCAUGCAUCAUAUCAUGAAAAAGAGUGGUCAUUGCUCUCUGGUAUGUUGCCCUAGCAUUCUUUAAACCGAAAGGCAUCACUCUAUAGCAUAAUGUUCCCCAGGGUGUAAUGAAUGUGGUCUUCUCCAUAUCCUCGAGUUCCAUUUUAAUCUGAUUAUAACCGGAAAAAUCCAUCCAUAAACGAAAAGACUUUGAAUUUAGUUGUAUUGUCUACCAACAUAUCAAUGUGUGGCAGAGGAAAAUCAUCUUUCGAACUAGCUUUGUUCAAAUCUCUAUAAUCGACACACAUACAUACUUUUCCAUCUUUCUUCGGAACAGGCACAAUGUUGGCCACCCAUUACGGAUACUCAACAGUAACAAGGAAGCCAACAUCAAUCUGCUUCUGCACUUCUUCUUCGAUCUUCACUGCCAUAUCAGGAUGAGUCCUCCUUAACUUCUGCUUGACUGGCGGGCAUUCUGGCUUCAAUGGCAAUCUAUGCUCCACAAUCUCAAAAUCUAAAUGAGGCAUGUCUUGAUAGGACCAAGCAAACACAUCUGAAUACUGUCGAAGAAGAUCAAUCAACCCCUUCAUAACCUCUAGACAUAGCUGAGACCCAAUCUUGACUUCCUUCACAUCAUCCUCGGAACCCAAGUUGACUAACUCAAUCUGCUCUUCGAACGGCUGAAUGGCUUUUUCCUCGUACUCAAGUAGACGAGACAAUUCAUCAGACACUUCUUCAUCACUUUCUUCUUCAGCCUCAAACACAGAGAAUUCAAAGUUUAGAGGAGGAGUAGGAUCAUUGUAUUCAAUGUGUUUAGAAAUCAACCUGCGUAAUAAUUUGAUAUUUUGAUUUUAGAGAAGUGAAUUGUAACCAAAUAUUAUGCAGAUGGACAAUUAUUAUUUACUUAUUUAUGUUUUUUGUGAUUACCAUUUUCAAAAAAGCAAAAAAGUAAAAUAAAACAUCAUAGAUGUGGAUGAAUAGAAUUGCAUUUUAUUAAUGAUCAAUUUGAAAGAUGCCAAACAGUGUUCACUUCUCCCUUAGGCAUAGGAGAAGGAUUUUCAAAAACAAUAAAGCAAUUACUUAGAGCGAUGAACAAUAACAGGAACAUCGACAACGAUCCAAUUGUUGCAAGCUUUUCCAUGCGUCAUAAAAUUGGUCCAGUCUUCAUCUUCAUUAUCCUCGAUCACUGCAGCUGAGUGUUGUUCAUUAUCAUGAAUGAACCCUCCGCUAUGGAAACUAGGUUGCACAUCUUCAACUUUCACUGCAGACGACCCUUAAUGAAAUCCUAAACCAGCAUGAUUCUUGUUCUCGGUGACCUCUACCAUCCGGCCCCAUUGAUCAGAACUACCAUCUUCAACAAUCUUCUGAGCGUGUUUAAAAGAGGACAUAGGUGCCCCAACUCUCUUUUCUUCAGCAAUAGAUAGAGCUUGGAACGGAGUUCCAAUCUCAUCCUCAGCUUCCAUAUAUGAGAAAGACGAUAGAUGACUCACCAACAGCGCUUUCUCUCCACCCACAAUGACGAGCUUACCAUUCCUCAUGAAUUUCAGUUUCUGAUGCAGAGUGGACAUCACAGCUCAUGCCUCAUGUAUCCAUGGUCUUCCUAACAAGCAGCUAUAGGCCAGGUGGAUAUCCAUUACCUGAAAAGUAAUUUGGAAAUCACUCGAACCUAUCUUUACUGGAAGGUCCACUUCUCCAAUAACCGUCUUGCGGGAACCAUCAAAAGCUUUGACAAUCACGCCAUUGUAUCUCAUAGGAGCGCCUUGGUAUGAUAAUCUUGACACAGUUGAUUUGGGGAGUACAUUCAACGACGAACUGGUAUCAACCAAUACAUUGGACAGUGCAUCCUCCUUGCAAUUCAUUGAUAUGUAUAGUGCCAUAUUCUGAUUUCUGCCCUCCUCGGGGAGUUCUUCAUCACAGAAGCUCAGAUUGUUGCAGGAAGUGAUGUUGGCCACAAUGUGAUCAAACUGAUCCACAGUUACAUCAUGCUCUACAUAAGCUUGCUCCAAUACCUUUUGCAAUGCUUCUCUCUGCACUUCAGAGUUCAUGAGCAGAGACAACACUGAAAUCUUGGAAGGAGUCUGGAGCAGUUGCUCCACCAUAUUGAAUUCACUUUUAUUAAUCAAACGAAGCACUUCAUCAUCAUCGUUAGGCUUCAAAUUGCUGGAUUCACCAGACUGACACUUUGGAGAACUACCUGGAUUUGCUACAGGCACUUCAACCUUCUUACCAACAUCCUCUACAUCCCUCGGGAAAACAGGACCAAAAACACGACCGCUAUGGAUCACCUUCGUUAUAUCGGCAAUAUUCACAACAUAAUUAGUCGUAGGCAAUGGGAACUCUUGACCAUUCUCCAAAAUUGUUGCAUUAUACUAAUACGGAACAACUCUAUCGGAUGCAUACGGGAUUGGGCCUGCUAACCAUAUUACUAACAGCGAUACCGAUCUGUUGACACUGUUACUGCUGCUGCUAUCAAACUCGAUUACCACCCGCUAAGGGGUCUUAAAGACUGGCACUAUCACGUUGACAUCAUCUAUAUCCCUUGACUGUUGAAUCUGUAUUACAUUCUCAUCCAUCAACUUCUAGACAUCUAUCUUGACAACCGAACACCCACGGGGGUUCACACUGCAGAUUGUACAACUUUCAUGGUCGUGUUCACAAUCACUAAUCGUACACAGGGUCUUGUGCAUUUCCACCAGAGACACUACGCCAAAAACUGGAAUAGACAGCGCACCUUAGAGGGCGCUUUCUUAAAAAAGCGCACUCUAAAGUGAAGAGAAAAAAUAAGGAGCGAACAACUGGAAUAGACAACGCACUUUUUUAACAAAAGCGCCCUCUAAAGUGAAGCGAAAAAAUAAUGAGGAAAUGGAGGACACCAAUAGGCGUAUGAAACGCCCUCUAAGGGUACCCUAAGAGGGCGCUUAAAAAAACGCUCUCUAAUUCCAUGUACAUUUCCAGUUUAUAGAUGCGCCUUUUGGAAGCCUUAAGAGCGCUUUUAGAAGCGCCCUCUAGGCCCCUUUAGAGGGCGCUUUUUUAACACACAGCCCCUCUAAGGUCCCUUUAGUAAACAUUAAAAUUAUAACAUAUAUUGCAUGUCUCUUUAUUUUCCCUCUCUAUAUGCUAUUUCGUUACGCGUAACUGAGUUUCUCUCCUACUGCGAUACUACUCGUCCUCCGUCGUCUCCCCCCUCACCGUCGUCGUCGCCGCGCCUUUUCUCUGUUGCGUCCCGUCACUGAGUUAUCGCGUCCACCGUCGCUGUUCACUUUCUUCUCCAUCGUUACCGUCACCUUGAAGGUAUUUCUCUCAAUAGUUGUAUUUCAGUGUUUGAUUAGGCGCUUUCUAAACUGAUUUACAUUUUGUUCAUUAUGUUGAUUAAUUGUUGUUUAGGGCAAAUGAGCACUAUAUGUGUUCAUGAGCACUUUGUGUAAGGUUUUUUAUUUUCUGAUUGAAAACUGAUGUCAUUUGGAGUGUGUUUGAGCUUGUGCUGGAAGUUUGAUGAUAAUGGAUGCAAGUUUGUUCAUGUUCCAAACACCAUAAGUUUGCAUUGAUCUUUUGUAGCAGUAGGUGUUGUGUGAGUUUGAUAUUCAAUAAUGAUGAAAAAAAGAGAGAGUUUAAGAUGUGUGUAACAUGAGAGAAAUGGAAGUAUUAUGAAUGUUUUUUUGUGUAGCUUCAACGAAAUGGUCAUUGUCUUACUUGGGUCUUAUUGAAUCAUUUCAUAUUACAAAUAAAAUUGCUAGUAACCAAGACGAUACCCAUUAACGCGAGUGGAUCACGUAACAUGUUUGAAAAAGAAAAUCAAACGAGAUUGACUGUUAUGAAUGUCAAUCAUUCGUGCAAGAGACAAGGUGAAAAAUUCGAAUAUAUGGGAGUGCUGAAGACCAACUAGAUUGAGCCUAACGGUUCAAUUGGCAAGUUCAUUGUUUCCUGUUCGGCAACAAUAUUCGAUUAAUGUGAUAAUUGGAGAAGUCCGGAAUUGAAGGUUGCAAAGAAAAAAUAUGGUCCAGAUACAGUACUUACCAUAUAUUGUUAUAUAUUUUUUGUGUGAUCUAUUGUUGACACAUAUAUUGUAUAAUAUUACUUAUAAUAACACAUCCAGUGUAUGUUUUUUAGAGAUCCUUUCACAUCGAUGAAAGCCGGCAAAAAAAUUGUAUUCAAUUGCCGGAAAAAGACUCCGAGGAUUUCGAUCCUUUUGUCAACAAAUUUCUCAAGGAUGAGGAAGAAAAAUUUGGUUGAAGCAAACGACCACAUGAAGUAUGGCGGAGAUUAUUUUCACCGAAGAAUGGAUACUUGUGUCGCCAAAACGAAGAAACGAAAAAUUCCAUGUAAUGUCUAUUAAUUAUGGUAUUAUACAAUUGUUAAUUACUGGUUCUGAUAUGCCUUAAAAACUUUUUUAUCCAGGAAGUAAGCGACAAAAAUCGGAAAAGGGCAUCAAAACCCGCGUAUCCGUACAAAAAGGGCGUACGGGAUAUGCACGGUAUACAACGAAGAAUUGUGAGUAUAUUCAAAUGCUAUGAGCUUAUACAUUGUCACAAUAUGUUAUAAUUGAUGAUCUUAUAAUCUGAUUAAUGUGAGCUAGCCGAGAGAAAAGUGACGCAACAUCUCUUCCAGAGCACGUAUUGUGAGCUGCUCGGUUGGGAAGGAUGGCUGUUCGUUGAAGCGGUUCAAAAUGUUUAUGACGAAUGUGUAAGUACAUGUAACUUAUUUUCUUUAAAUUAUAUCGAUAAUUUGUUAACAUAUAAUUCAUUUUAAUCUCUCUAAUAAUAUUUUCAGGAGACUUUAUCCACAAACCUUACCUUCAAGCCGGUCCAGGAUUGCAGGAGCGUACUUAGCUCGAGUACUAAAUGUUCCUGAUAUUCGGUCGUGUGAGGGGUAAGGGUUUGGUGUGACUCCGUCGUCAUUUUAUAAAAAACCAAAACAAAAAAUCACCAACCAAAGAGUGAUGGAGACCUUGGCGGAGUUAAGGGCACAUACAUCGAUACUGCAAAAGAGAACUGCCAAGUAUAGAGAGGGAAAGUCGGUUCCGAGGCAAGAUACUUAGUACCGAGCAGUGAUCAAUUGUCAACCGAAAUUUCCCAAGUAAUUAUAUAUGUUAUUAGAAAUAAAAAAGCACUUUUUUACUUGACAACAUAUACACUGGUUAACACAAUAACAUUUAUUAUUGGUUAGGGGCACUUACAUACUUGUCAGCUGUAUCUAUCGCAACCAAACGUUAUCGCAAGUUGGCAAGGGAAAACUGCACACCUUCGGGUGAAAUUACUCACAUAAAUUCCCUCACCGGUGUGGAUAUAUGAAAGUUUUGGAUUGACCUUGUAUUAGAUACGGACGCGCUUUCUAACAUUACCUGACGUGUUUCAGAGACAACGUUUUAUGCGAGAUGCAGUCAGAUCGUUUUUGGAUGCCGUGCAGAUCGAAUUUUUCCCAGACGCCGAGGUAUAAUAUGUUCUUAAAUGAUUAUGGAGUAUCUGAGUAUAUGUCACAUUUCAAUUCAGACUUAGCAAUUAUGAUAUUUUAAAUCAGUCUUAUAUUACAUGGUAAGUUGUAAGACCCUACACAAGACCCACACAAAAGUGGUAUAAAGGGAUUUCAAGACGCAUCGAGUCGGUGGCAUCUCAAAAGAGGUCAAUAUAUAUUACCCAUUGAAAUUAUAUACGCAAGUGAAUUCGUUGCAUCACAAAAAGUCAUGUUAAUUUUAUAUUGAAUUUUUAGUGGUUCCUGGUCGAAGUUGAAAAGCGCUGGUAAAGGAUAUUCCAACGACGUCACGGGACAACAAAUCUCAAAAUAUGAUUGCGCUUGAGAAAAUGUUGGAAAAUCAGAUAUUAUGCAGCGCCAUCCGUAGUGUGAGAUAUUGAUAAGAAGGUAGUUUUCGGAAUUGCUCAUUUCCGAAAUAAUUGCAAGAGGACAUGCAACAACUUUUGAACACGAGAAUUGGGCAGCGCUGUCAUUCUACAUACAUUAUGGUACUGGACCUGUCAAUCUAUUAUGUAUUAGUUGAACAAUUUAUUAUACACAUUCAAUGAGUUCAAUGUUUCUAUGUUUUCAUUUAAGGUAUAUGUAUGACACAUGAUGCGGGGAACUGAAUGUGUAACGGUUCAAUUUUAUUGCUGGCUUCCCGUAUCAACAAACGCGUAAUAAACGAAAAUCCAACAUCCGUAAAGAUGAACUUAGUCAUUAGAUCAUGGCGCGGCGAUAAUACUUACACCCAGUUUGUAUUUUUACCGUUUAAAUUCUGCACGCGUUAGAUUUCGUUUCUACAUAAUUUCAUUUCAAUUAUGUGAUAUCUUUACGUUAAAAAUUUUCAUGUUUCUAAAUUUUUGUUUUAUUUAUACGUGUCACGCGUGUUUGUUGAUGCGACUUUCGAGACUAAUGGUUUGUAUUCAUCUCGAUUCGUUUCUGGUGCAUUGCAGUAAAAAAUCCGAGAUAGAAGACGGUUGACGCGUCAAGUGAAAAUUCCCCUAAAUAUUCGGUUGUUGGUAAUUGUAUAUUUAAUUAUGUCUGUCAGAUUGCAUCUCAAUAUACGUUUUUAGUUUUGUUAGUGCAAUACUAAAAUUUAGAUCGAAAAAUAAUAUCGUAAUAGGAAGACAUUACCUGGGUCAGAGUUCAGUAUAUAUCUUAAGUUUUCUUAUUUGUGCUUAUGUAAUAGUGGUGUUUUUUUGCCUUAUAAUAGUGUUGUAAGAAAUUUAACUAUAUAUAUAUAUACUAAUACUAUAUAUAUAUCUAUAUACUAAUAUAUAUAAUAUACUUAUAUAUAUAUAUAAUAUUAUUGUUAUGUUUGUUUGUUUGUUUUCUGUUGUAGGUGUCCUCCAAACAAUUACGUCGAUUGCGGAUUUUUGUAUUGAGAUAUUAUGGGAAGAGAUCAUUUGCGUUGAAUCGUAUAGAACAUCCCAAAAAUGGUAUGGAUAUAACUUAGGGUUAUUUAAUAUUAUCCGGAUAUAUUUCGCUAAUUGUUACUAAAAUCAUGAAUAUGUUUUAUUCUCUUAAUUGAGUACUUUGACGAAUACAAAUCUUACUCACGAGCUCAUUUGGAGGAAUGAAGGAUUGAAUUGCUGUAAUUCAUUUUGAUUCAAAGAAUCAUUAGUUGCUAGCUUUGGUUGUACUAUGUAAAUGUAUGAGAAAUGUAGUUGUUGUAUCGACAUCAAUAUAUUAAUUAUAUAUAGAUUAAUGUUGUAUAUAUAGAUAAAGGUAUUCAAUGUUGUGUUUAUAUAUCAAUGGAUUAUAUGUGUAUAACAUUGGAUAUUAAAGGAUGAACAUCAAAUAAUGAUUUUUUACACUUGUGCAGUCAUGCGACCUAGGUUCCCAAUUAAAUACCUCACUGUAUUUUUUCAAACAAAAUUUUUUAAAAUAACUAAACACUUUAGAGGGCGCUUUCUGUAGAAGCGCCCUCUAAACACUUAUCAUUGACACACUUUAGAGGGUCUGCUUUGUCCAGAAAACCGCCCUCUAAGGUGCCUUUAUGGACCACUCCAGAGGGCCGGCUUUUUCUGAAAGCGCACUAUAAUGUGGCCCUUAAAGGGCCCUUUAGAAGCGCUUUAGAGAGCGCUUUCUCCAGGAAAACAAAGCGCUGUCUUUACCUAUGUCAGCGCCACUUUAGAGGGCGCUUAAAAGCGCUGUUAUAGGCCAAAAUAAGCGCCCUCUUUUCCCUUAUUUGGCGUAGUGAGAUCUUCAGAUACGUCUCACAUCAAACACUCGGAAACUUCCUGGACAACCAUCUACCAUAUUAACAGAGGAAUUACCAUGAGCAGGCAAUGGGUUAGCUUUCACGUUUAGUGCACGGUCCUCAAAGGAAACCAUCCCACUCUUCACUAGCUUCUGGACCUCGUAUUUCAACGGGUAGCAAUUCUCAAUAUCAUGGUCAGGAGCCCCUUGAUGAAAGGCACAUCGAAGUUCUGGCUUGUACCACCAUGGAAGUGGUUCUGGAAUUUGUGGCGGAUUUCUUGGUUGGAGAAGGUUCUUGAGAACCAAAGACGAAUAUAAUUUAGCAUAGGACAUAGGAAUAGGGUCAAAAGAGACCUUCUUCCUCUCAAAGUUAUGUUGUUGUUGUUGAUUAUUGUUGGUGUUGUUGUUGUAGUUGUUUGUUCUUUGUUGUGGCUGUUGUUGACGCUGUUGUUGAACUGGUACUGAUUGAUUAUUGGAAAAUAUUUGAAUAACGGAUGAUACUUGAUGAUGAUCUUACCAAACAAAUCCUUUCCCCUCAAGGUCUUUAACUCCUUUCGCAGCUCAAGGAAUUGGUCUUUCAUCUCAUCCAUCUUUUUCAUAAACAUCUAGACCCUCAGACGGCUCAGAAUGGUAGAUGGUGUCCUCAACACGAGGCAGAGUGUGAACAACUGGAGGCGGAACAGACAGGAUCGGGCUAGAUGUCGGCAUGGAAGCAAAAGUAGGCGCGAACCCUUCGGGCACAAAGUUUGGCGGAAUUCCCCACGGGAAUCCGGUAGGCAUAGUAGGCUCAAACUGAGUGGCAUGCAUGAUUGAAGUAACAACCUCUGAAAUGAUAGUCCUCUGAGGAGGAGGAGGAGUUGUAGGCGUUGGAGAAGAUUGACUCUGAGCAGCUAGAAUAGACUCCAUCAUGGCAGUCAGGCGGGAAAUCUCGUCUUUCAACUCUCAGUUCUCUUAAUCCAAGUGUUCCAUGAUUCUCGGAUGAUUGACGUGAGUAUUGUAUCGAUGAGUCAGCUUGGCUGAAGCACAGAAGAAUAACCAAUAAGACAUCUGGCAGAAGAAAACCUGUUUAUGCAAAUAAUGCAUGAAAUGCAAUGCUUCGAUUGUUUUUAUUUUCAAGGAACAUACAAUUUUAUUUGCAAAUAAUAUAAUAAUAACAAUUUGUAACAAUUUGAUUGACCAUAAAAAAAUCUCUUUUAUUUAUAUAAUUUUGAAGGAUUACACUGAGUACAAAUUCAGAAACCAAAAAUACAAAUACAAGAGAAAAGGAAACUAAUCAUCCUAAGGAUCCCCCAACAGCAGUGUCAGAUGAUCUUGCUGCAGGCGCGUACUUCCUUCGGAUACGCCGGAUCUCGGACUCAAAAGAGGUCUUCAUCUGAGACUUCUCAAGGACAAGCUGAUCAACAAUCUUCUUCCAAGCACCAGAAGACUGAGGCAUACUAGAGGAAGAUGGACCCUCUGGCUCUCUCUGUCUUUUCACUACUCGGUCUUCAAGAAGUUCAAUAAGCGCAUUUUUGUCCUUAGACUCAAGUUGCAACUCCUCAUGCUUUUUGCUCAAUGCAUGGAACCACUCUUCCCACAUAUCCUUCUCUUGCUUCAUCUUGGCGAGUGCGUCUUCCAACUCCUUUACGUCUUGGUUAGGGAGAGUUGAUGGCUCAACUACAACCAUAAAUAUAGGUUUCUCACAAGCAUAAGGCAUCUUCAAUUCCAAAGCUCUCCUCUUCAUCCAAAGAGUGUAAGCUUCCAAAGCUACACAGUUGCAUGGACCAAGCUCGGAUCUUCCUUUCCUAUGCAUAUUAUGCCAAGCAUGCACAAUCUUCUACUUCAAAUGUUGGGGAUCUUUACCCUCUUGAUAGAGAAGACCUUCUAACUGAGUGUUAUUAGGUUUGUCUCUCAAGGGGAACCUAAGUUGAUGACGAGCCAAAGCAGGGUUGUAGUUGAUUCCUCCUUGUGUACCAAUAAGGGGUGCAUUAGAGAAUUCACCACAACUAUCAAUAAUCUCCAAGCUACCCAAUGAAGAAUCAUACCAAACUAUAUCAUCAUUAGUGAGAGAUAUAAGUCUUUGAGACCACUGUAGACAUUGUUUGUUCUCCACCAAAGCAGACGUCUAAGGCAAGUGCGAAAUAAACCACUUGUACAGAAGAGGAACACAUCACACAAUAGUCCCACCACCUUUAGAAUUUCUCAAAUGCAAAGAGAAGUACAUAUCACCUAACAGAGUAGGCACAUGAUUCUCAAUCAAGAAGAUUUUAAUGGCGUUAACAUCAACAAAACCAUCAAUGUUAGGGAACAAAGUCAAACCAUAGAUGAGCAACACAAAGAUGGCUUCAAAGGCAUCCUUACUACCGGCCUGAGCAAAAGCAGUAGCUUUCCUAAUAAGGAACUCAGAAGUCAACCCAAAUAUUCCUCCUUUCUUCACGCAAUGAGCCUCAAUCUCAGACUUCUUCAGAUGAAGAGCUUCAGAUAUAAUAUGAGAUAUGGGAAUCUCUUCCAAUCCACUAAAAGGCACCUUAUCAGAAACAGGUAUCCCCAAGAGAUGGGCAUACUCCUCCAACGUAGGCAUAAGCUGAUAAUCGGGAAAAGUGAAGCAACGGUAGAAAGGAUCAUAGAACUGAACCAAAAUACUCAAGAGUCAUUCAACCACAUCAGCAGACAACACAGAUAGAAGCUUCCUAAGACGUUGCUUGAAGUCCAAGGGAUCUAAUACAAAAGAUGAUAGCUUCCUUAACUCUUUCAAAUCGGGACAUCUGAAACUGUACUUCUUAGUGUUCCUUCGUCCAUAAUCCAUGGUCUGAAAAUAUUUGCAAAUAAAAUCUCAGUUCCUUGAAGUUAUUUUUCGUGUGAUGAAUGUCAUGAUGCGCAUGAAUGCAUGAAUGCAGCAAUCACAAAUAAGGGAUCACUAGGAAAACAAACAAAGGUCGAGGGAUGAAUCAAGUCAUUGUCAAGAUCAAUCAUCCAUUUUGGUGGAUUAUGGUUUUCACCCUAUCAACACCCAAGUAUCAUUGAUAUUAACAAGACUUGAUUGGAUCAACCAAGAAUCAAAGGGUUUGUUGUGAGUCACGAGCAUGUAGUCAUGUUAAGAACCAUCCCAAAGGAGUGUACUAAGGAUAAAAACAUGUAGAUCAUGUUCUAAAAAGUUCCCAGAGUCUUAAUUCCAUCUAUCGGAUAUUACAGGUUAGGAUGACUGACUCAUCAACCCAUAUGUACUAAGGAUAAAAACAUGUAGAUCAUGUUCUAAAAAGUUCCCAGAGUCUUAAUUCCAUCUAUCGGAUAUUACAGGUUAGGAUGACUGACUCAUCAACCCAUAAUAUUCUCAAGAGAAACUCGUCUAAGUGUAGUAUUGCAUAACAACUGUUAUCAAGUCUACACCUGAACAGUCUCCGCACUACGUCCUUAAUAGGCCAAGUUGGGUUAAAUGUUCUACGGUCCUCAGCUUCUCGGACCCCAAAUCAGAGAAAGUAAUGCCUAACCACAAAUAACUCGUGUGACAUUCAUAACUCCAAAAGGGUCUCCACUGAGCAGAUGGGUCUCAAGCCAACUUGUUAAGGACUACUCCACAAAAGUCGAACAUGACUAUACCAUCCUCAUAUCUUAAUUGCACUCAAGUUCGGGUUAGAACUUAUCUCGCCACUCAGAGAUCACCAAGCACAACAAGCAGAUUAUAUCACACAAACAAGUAUACAAACAUCAAAUAUACAAUUUGUCAUACCCCAAAAUUUGUCUGUUGAUUUUUAUACUUUCAACAGAGGUCUAUUCAUUUUUCAAAGGAACAAAGAUCCAGCGUACAGGCUACCAAAUCCAGAAGAUGGCCUGAACCGUCGUGCUCGCUAGGCGAGCAAAACCUUCGCUAGGCGAAGCCCACGCUUUCUCCUUCGCCCCAACGAACCUUGUUGAUUUUGCUACUGGAAUGAUCGCUACCUGCUCGCCUAGCGAGUAAGUACUAGCUAUGCUUUUAUCCAAGUCUGGGAACAUUCGCUGGAACACUCGUUGAGUGUUCGCCUAGCGAACCCUUCGCUAGCUCACUCGCCUAGCGAAACUUGCGAAUAUACAAAAAUUCUGGGCCUGAAUUGCCUUCAGUCUGAGCCCACCAAGACACAAAAAAUCAGCUAUAAAUUCCAGAACUUCAUUUGAAAAAAGGGAGGAGAAAACCCUGGAGAUCAGAAAAACAACGGGGAAAACCCUAGAAGCUAAUUCAGAGAACUCAUCGGCACAAAGGUUACCUCCACCAACCCUAUCAGGCAUAAACCCUAAGAUUGCCCUACAAACCCGACGGUGCAAAUUCAAUUUCAUCCGAUCCCUCCAAUCAGGUUUGCCCUAUUCCCACUACUCUAUGCUCCCAAUUUGGAAUUUCUAAAUGUAUGAGGCAUUAUGGUUGAAUUUAGAAAGGCGAAUAUCGUUAGGUUUUGCAUGUGGGUUUAUAUGUGCAUAAAUGUGUAAAACAAUACUUUGAAUAUUCGAUCACGUAAUUUCUGUAAUGGAUGCCAUAGGGUUUGGGGUUUCCAAAAUCGCACCAGUAUCAAAGAAGAACCCAGAACCCGCAGUCGUUCGCUAGCACCUCGCUAAGCGAACAUGUAGCGAGGGUUCGCCAGGCCUUCGCUAGGCGAGGCAGUAGCGAACAUGACCGUAGUUGAUUUUUUCUGUUUGCAUUCUGAUCUGUUCUGUAUUUGGUUGACAUGCUUUCUAUUGCAUUUGCACGCUGUUUGCCUGACAUUAUUAUUGCUAUGAUUCUUUUGUUCGGUGCAACUCUUGAUUGCACCCCAUCCCGUUAUUCUAACAUGUUUUGCUGUUUGCCUGACAUUAUUAUUGCUAUGAUUCUUUUGUUCGGUGCAACUCUUGAUUGCACCCCAUCCCGUUAUUCUAACAUGUUUGCUGAGUUUUUGUAAGGGCUCCCAUGAUUCUUGAAGAGAUAUCUCGGUAUUCCACUUUAUUUGUGGGAUACCAUUGUGGAGAUUUAUUCUGAUUACUUGGCUAAUUACAUUGCCUUCGAAUAUAUGAUCUUAUCCCUCUCUUUGUUGCCUUACGAUAUUACGGUCAUGUCCCGCGAAUGUGGGGAUACCCUUAGCAAAGACCCUUUUGAUUAAAUCAUCAUCAUCCCUAAACAGAUAAGCCAUAGUCCCUUCGAUCAAAAGGUCAAUGUCCCUACGAGAUAAACCUUGUCCCUCGAAUGUUGCCUACGAAUAUAUGACUUUGUCCCUCGAUGACCCUUCGUUGUAGCCUACGAUUAAAUGAUGAUCGUCCCUUCGAAUGCUAAGGUAUCCUUACAAAUGUUGCCUUCAAUGACCAAUCGACGACCCCACGGAUGUCUCUUUAACAUUCAAUUGGAUAAGGAACUACUUACUUCUCCUAUAUGUACUGGCAUAGUUUUAUUCUCUCGCUAAGGAUAGAAAUACCUAUAAUGACCUUGGUUAGGUAUAACUCUUAAAAUGUCUUGCUCACAGCUUAUAAAUACUUUUCUACACCUCACACUUUUCAAUAAAAAUCUUUUUAGAAAAUACACCACUUGUUAAUAUUCUAUUCGCUACAUGAAUUUCAUCCACGAGUUAUAAUUUUUUCUAAAGCCAUCUUUUCUUUCAAUAUUAUCAAUACGAUAAAUCAGCUUUGUAUCAUCUGUACAUAGAUCCAUUAUAAAAGUUAACUCUCCUUCUCUAAAUAUUUUCUGUAAAUCACAUCCACAUUUCUCUAAAGCAGCUUUCUCGUAAACAUGGAAACAUAUAGUGAGUUAGUCAUUUAAGAGUCCCAUGUGUAUAACCAUGGAUACAAAGGGUGCUAACACCUUCUCCUUUGUAUAUGGUUACCUGCCCGGAACUCAAAAUCUUAAUCAAGGUCCUUGUCCUUGUUUCCGCCUUCCUUAUUGGAUAAAAGAAUAAGUCGGUGGCGAUUCUUGCUAUGCUUCGCAACAUUGCUUCAAGCAUAAAACAUCAUCACAGUAGUUUCACGCGUAUCACAGAACUGGCUCGACUUCUGCUUGGAUUCUUAUAAGAAGAGAGGUUACCUGUAAGAUAUAGAUCAAUUAUGUUUUCGAAUUGUUGUUCUUUGUCUGAUUACUGUUUAAGGGAUUUGUUUGGGUUUCUAUGCUUGAGUGAAUAGAUCCUAUCAUCUUACCGUAUCUAGGUUUGUAUUCCUUAGGUAUUUACAGAACGAUCAUCGGACUGUUCCGGCGUAUAUCUUGUGAAUGGUUAAUAAAUGAUGUCUACGGUUAAUGUGCACACUUUUAUGAUGUCCUGGUGUUUCCUCAUGUUUACUUUGAGGAAAAUUUUUGGCGUCUGCGUGGUGUCAUUCAAAGUCAUUUAACCUAGACUGCUUUAGAACCUCUAGAUUGAUCGUUCAUCUUACCAUUAUGGAUUAAAGUAGUGAUGAUAAUGUGACUUCUGGUUUCUCGCCUGGGUGUUUGGUGAUCCUCGAUACUGCCAUAUGCUUCUUUUGGAGAAGUUGGAUUCCUUAGGUGUAAAUUUUGGUCAUUUCCUGCUGGGUGUUGUUCACUGGAAGUGAACUUAAGGAGGUCAUGAUUUUGAAGAUCCUUCUAGAACCGCGGUUACUAUUCUGGACAUGGUUGAACCAUCCAAACUUCAGAUGGGGAGGGUACUUACCUUAUGGAUUACUCAUGCAAGCUUAUAAACUAAGAUGAUUGGUGGUGUAGCUUGUUACUUAGCUUGACAUCAUAACAUCAUGAUAUUUCAUGGCAUUGAUUGUAUUAACUGCAUUUCGAGACUUAGGGAUUUAUGAUGUAAACUUUUGUCUCUGUUUGUUAAGGCUAUGGUUUCCAGGAAAACCAUUCCGGAUUCAAUUUUUUGUAGGCGAUAUUCUCCUCAACUUCAGGAUUUAGUGUCAGAACUUCCGAUUCAAUGCUUGUUUCAUCAGAAACCUAAUGGUCCAUCUCCUUCUUAAUUUAGUUACCACGUUUCGAGGGAAGAUUGUAUGAGAGUUCUAUCCAAUUUCUUCUGAUCCCUAAACAUCAUUGCUUUCCACUUUCUCCAGAUUAUCAAAAAGUUUUUUUUUGGGGUACGUUUUUUCUCAAUUUAGUUAAGAAUUUUCUAGGGUUGCUUUGGGAUACUUCUAUCCUUGUAUCAAUACACCUUUCAGUGGUUAGAUAAGAGUGUCUGAGGUCUGAAGAGGGUUGUCUGUGGCUUGUAUAACACAUGAAGAAGUCGACAUUGAUACUAAUUGGGUAGCGCAAGAAGUGAAUUAAGGUGUCUACUUGCAAUAUUCUGAUAAUAAGGCCCGCGAAUUCCUAAAAGAGAAUUGUCCAUUGCUUUUCUGAAGAUGUUCUAGCUUAUUCUAAUAUGGUUUGGUGCUAUUUCCUAAUACCGGAUCAUUCUAUAGACAUGAUGUUGUUAAGAUAUUUCUCACUCAUAACCUGUGCCACCUUGCUAUGGAGACAUUUUGCAUUCCUUCACACUCGUACUAUGAAUCGGCAAGGGGACUCUAUCGUGGCUGGCAUACUUAAUUAUCUAGGUGUUAUUUCGGCACCUUCCUCAUAUCAGUCUCUGUGUAAGAUAUGAGCAAAAUCUGAAAUGGUCUCUUAAAGGAUUAAGUCGCUCUCUCAUUUUCAGACAUCCAUUGGUGUCUCCAACCGCAGAAGAAAUAAUGUUUAUUCAUCGUUGACGUUGUGGAGUAAUUCUCUACGUACACUGCAUGGGAUAGAGAGGAGGUAUUAUUAUACCCUGCUUUAGCCCUACGUCAGUUUGGGUUAUGCUUCGAAGGAUGGGUCACAUGAUAAUUACAUUAUCCAAGGCACUGUGGUUGACUAUGACAACAAUUCUCAAGGAUCUGUCAAAGGUUUUGUUACGAGUUUGGGGCAUGGUGGAAAAGAAGUAACCUUUAGGACCGAAAAACUCUAUUCCUAUGGAACCUUAUUCAAUGGGUAGCCCCCGUCGCGCAGAGCUCGUGAGCUUAUCAUGUCCAUAGAUUCUACAGAUUUCGGAGACUCUGAUUGUUUGAACCAAAAGUUGAAGGAUGGUACCCUCAGAUCAUUCCUAUCCUAAGAUAUUGUCCUACCAUGUUGGAAGAAUUGGAGAAUAUUGGAUCUCAGUUUGAAGAUGGACAGGGAUUGCUUUUGAAGCAUACAGUUCCUGUGCUGAUAUAGUGAAGAAUAGUAAUAAAGCUCAUCGCAGCUAGGCUUAAAGUGAGAACGGAGUCUCAGAUUGCAUACCUCGCUGCCAUAAAAUGAAGCGUCCCUGGAGACUGAGCUUUCUGCAUUUUUUCGUUGUAUAUGAAACAUUGAAUUAAAGAUAAUUUAUUAAUUUAAAAGUUGCCCUCUUUUUGGUUGGGUUUUCCGUCCUUUUUGGGUGGGUUUUUACGCAAUAGUUAGAAUUUCCAAAGUCGCUUGUUAAUUAACAUUUCAUAUAUUUGCAUUAGCUAUUAACCGAUACAUUGCAUAACAUGGUUCUUUUUCUAUAUAAGGAUCAAAUUGUUCUCACGGUUUUUCCCUUCAAUCAGGAAAUGGCCCUCGAACAAACUGUCAAGGAUUCCAAGGCUCAGAGUGCUUCAAUUCCAGUGAGAUGAUCUUGAAAUUAUCAAGGGGCAACGAGGAACUUGAAGACCCUAUUUGCUCGAUGAAGAGAUAAGAAAGAAGCUGUGAGUACAUUCAACCCGGGUAAGAAGUGCUUAAAGGAAGGGCUCCAGGAGUCAAGAUUGGAAUUUCUGUUAUUAGGACAAAGAAGAUGAGACAGAGAAUGAUUUCGAAGAGGAGGAUGUUGAUCCUUCAACCCUGUAGGACGACUAUUGAAUAUUAUGAAAAUGCACAGUCUUCUCGCGUAGAAGAUGAUAAGUAUUAUAGUUUGCUUGUAUUAGAACGUAUGCUAGCUUAUGGAGGUGUCAUGAAAGGCGCUCCUUGUAUCUGGAUUUUGAAAAGCUUAGGUCUUGGGUUCUCUGAUCGUGGUCAUGCCUCGUAAAUUCUGAGGUUCCCGCUUUCACUAAGUUAUGAUUGGUGGCAGUCUUGUCUCUCAGAUGCAUCUCUGAAGAGCUUAUGUGAGUAAAAGAUGUCGCCGUUAUAUUCCACUCGAAUUAGGUAAGCUAUGGAUUCCCAUUUUUCGUUCAAGCGAGUCUGGUGUGGCACACAGUUAUGAAGUGGUUAUUAUCAACUGAGAGCUGCUUAACUAUCCGCACUCUGGACUGAUUUAGUCGAUCAACUUUCUACAAGCCACUUACCAGUAUAAUUUCUGAAUUAGCGUCCUACCCCGGCUACAUCCGCUUAGAAUAUUGAACUAUGGAACUCUAAUUAGAAAGCUUUCAAAGAAUAAUGUCUUCAAAAUGGAGAGACGUUGGUGGCAGAGUCAAACCCCCUAUGACUGAUCGAGAAUUAGUGGACAUGUUCAUGGGUACACUGACUGGCCCAUUCUACAGCCAUCUAUUGGGAAGUUCCUCAUCGGGUUUCACUGAACUUAUAUUGACAAGUGAACGUGUUGAAAGCGGCAUUCGAAGUGGAAAGAUACAGGUGGCUACCUCUGCAAGCACCAAAAAGUCCUAUCAGGGGAAGAAUGAAUCAAAUGCUAUGUAUGGUCAAAGGGGUCAUAACAAGAAAAAUCGUGACCAUACUGUUGGAGCAGUUACGAUUGCAGCACCGCCAUCUCAAAACUUCCAACACAGAAAAGACAGGCCAAGAAGGCAGUUUACCAAGAUCAAUAUGACUUUAGCACAAGCACUGCAGGGUAUGCUAAAAGCAAAUCUAAUUACCCUCAGAGAUCCUCCUGCAAAUCCCAACACUACUUCUCCUUGUUAUAAUCCCAAUGCCAGGUGUGCAUAUCACUUCGAUAGCCCCGGGCAUGAUACAAACGAUUGUUGGUUGUUGAAGAAUAAGAUUCAAGAUAUGAUCGAUGCUGGAGAAAUUGAAUUUGAUCCUCCGGAGACUCCUAAUGUCAUCACUGCUCCUAUGCCUAAUCAUGACAAAACUGUUAAUGCUGUGGAUGACAAUUCUCACAUUGCUAAUGUAGCUGACUUAGCAUCUCUUCUCCUGAUCAUCAAGAAGAAUUUAUUGCAAGCUGGUUUAUUUCCAGGUUGUGCUGAAAAUUGCGAUCUCUGUAUAUUCCGACCCAAUGAUUGCUUGAAGUUGAGGAAUGGUAUUCAACGGCUGAUGGAUGAUCGUACAAUUCUCUUUGAAAAGAUUCCUAAGGUGGAAAACCUUAUUGAAGAAAUAUAUAUGAUUGCUAGGUCCACAGUUCCAGUGAAGAUUACCGCUACUAGAGUGCCUGUGAAGAUUACUGCUGAGCCCAAGGUAGCUCCCCUAAUUAUUACUGCACCUGGACCAGUACCGUAUUCCUCAAGCAAAGCCAUUCCGUGGAAUUAUGGAGGUGAUGUUUACAUCCACGGCAUAAAGCAAGAUGAUAAUUCUGCUAAUCGUAAUGACGCUGACAUUGUUAGGACUAGUAAAAUUACUCGAAGUGGAAGGAUCUUCUCUCCAGAAAUCUCACCUCCCGCCCCUGAAACUCGAGGAAAGGGACCAGUAAUCAAUCCUUCUCAGUCAAAGACACCAGUCGAAGUUACUACUGCGCCAGAGCUCGUGAGCUUAUCAUGCCAUAUCUUACAAUCGGACCUCUGAUUGUUGAACCAAAAGUUGAAGGAGGUACCCCUCAGAUCAUUCCUUAUCCAGAUAUGCCUACCAAUGUUGAAGAAUUGGAGAAAUCUUGGAUCCAGUUGAGAGAGGAAAGGGAUGCUUUUGAAGCACAGUUCUGUGCUGAAAGGAAGAAAGUAUUAAAGCUCACCAGCCAGCUUAAGGAGGAACGGAGUCUCAAUGCAUACCUCCGCCCAAAAAGAAGCCGCCCCUGGGAGACUUGAGCUUUCAUUUUUUUCUUGUAAUGAACAUUGAUUAAAGAAAUUAUUAAUAAAAGUUCCCCUUUUUGGUGGUUUUCCCCUUUUUGGUGGUUUACGCAAAGUUAAAUUCCAAAAGUCCUUGAAAACAUUUCAUAUAUUGCAUAGCAUAACAUAACAUUGCAUAACAGGUACUCUAAAAAGAUCAAUGUUCUCACGGUUUUCCUUCAAUCAGGAAAAUGGCCCUCGAACAAACUGUCAAGGAUCUCCAAGCUCAGAGUGCUCAAUUCCAGGAGAUGAUCUUGAAAUUAUCCAAGGGGCACGAGGAACUGAAGACCCUAUUGCUCGAGAAGAAGAAAGACAAGAAGCCUGUGAGUUACAUCAACCCGGGAAGAAGGCUUAAAGGACAGGCUCCAGGAGUCAAGAUUGGAAUUCUGAAGGACAAAGAAGAUGAGACAGAGAAUGAUUCGAAAGAGGAGGAUGUUGAUCCCUUCAACCCUGAGGACGACUAUGAAAAUUAUGAAAAUGAACAGUACUCUCCGAAAGAUGAUAAGUAUAAGUUGCUGGAAGAACGUAUGCUAGCUAUGGAGGGUCAGAAGGCGCCCGGUCUGGAUUUCGAAAGCUUAGGUCUGGUCUCUGAUGUGGUCAUUCCUCGCAAAUUCAAGGUCCCCGCUUUCACUAAGUAUGAUGGUGCGUCUUGUCCUCAGAUGCAUCUGAGAGCUUAUGUGAGAAAGAUUCAGCCGUAUACCACUGAUAGGAAGCUAUGGAUCCAUUUCUUCCAAGAGAGUCUGUCUGGCACACAGUUAGAGUGGUAUUAUCAGCUCGAGAGCUCUAACAUCCGCACCUGGACUGAUUUAGCGACAGCUUUCUACAAGCACUACCAGUAUAAUUCUGAAUUAGCGCCUACUCGGCUACAGCUGCAGAAUAUGACUAUGGGCUCUAAAGAAAGCUUCAAAGAAUAUGCUCAAAAAUGGAGAGACUUGGCUGGCAGAGUCAAACCCCCUAUGACUGAUCGAGAAUUAGUGGACAUGUUCAUGGGUACACUGACUGGCCCAUUCUACAGCCAUCUAUUGGGAAGUUCCUCAUCGGGUUUCACUGAACUUAUAUUGACGGGUGAACGUGUUGAAAGCGGCAUUCGAAGUGGAAAGAUACAGGCGGCUACCUCUGCAAGCACCAAAAAGUCCUAUCAGGGGAAGAAUGAAUCAAAUGCUGUGUACGGUCAAAGGGGUCAUAACAAGAAAAAUCGUGACCAUACUGUUGGAGCAGUUACGAUUGCAGCACCGCCAUCUCAAAACUUCCAACACAGACAAGACAGGCCAAGAAGGCAGUUUACCAAGAUCAAUAUGACUUUAGCACAAGCACUGCAGGGUAUGCUAAAAGCAAAUUUAAUUACCCUCAGAGAUCCUCCUGCAAAUCCCAACACUACUUCUCCUCGUUAUAAUCCCAAUGCCAGGUGUGCAUAUCACUCCGAUAGCCCCGGGCAUGAUACAAACGAUUGUUGGUUGUUGAAGAAUAAGAUUCAGGAUAUGAUCGACGCUGGAGAAAUUGAAUUUGAUCCUCCGGAGACUCCUAAUGUCAUCACUGCUCCUAUGCCUAAUCAUGACAAGACUGUUAAUGUUGUGGAUGACAAUUCUCACAUUACUAAUGUAGCUGACUUAGCAUCUCCUCUCCUGAUCAUCAAGAAGAAUUUAUUGCAAGCUGGUUUAUUUCCAGGUUGUGCUGAAAAUUGCGAUCUCUGUAUACUCCGACCCAAUGAUUGCUUGAAGUUGAGGAAUGGUAUUCAACGGCUGAUGGAUGAUCGUACAAUUCUCUUUGAAAAGAUUCCUAAGGUGGAAAACCCUAUUGAAGAAAUAUCUGUGAUUGCUAGGUCCAAAGUUCCAGUGAAGAUUACCGCUACUAGAGUGCCUGUGAAGAUUACUGCUGAGCCCAAGGUAGCUCCCCUAAUUAUUACUGCACCUGGCCCAGUACCGUAUUCCUCAAGCAAAGCCAUUCCGUGGAAUUAUGGAGGUGAUGUUUACAUCCACGGCAUAAAGCAAGAUGAUAAUUCUGCUAAUCCUAAUGACGUUGACAUUGUUGGGACUAGUAAAAUUACUCGAAGUGGAAGGAUCUUCUCUCCAGAAAUCUCACCUCCCGCCCCUGAAACUCGAGGAAAGGGACCAGUAAUCAAUCCUUCUCAGUCAAAGACACCAGUCGAAGUUACUACCGAAGAUGUUGCCAAGCAGGAAAUGGAAGAAAUGCUGAAAAUCAUCCGUAAGAGUGAUUUUGAUGUGGUAGAACAGCUGGGGCAUACUCCGUCUAAAAUUUCGAUGUUAUCCUUGUUGUUAUCUUCUGAAUCUCAUGCCAAUGCGUUGAUAAAAUUCUUGAAGACCGCUCAUGUACCUCAGGAGACAUCUGUCGAUCAGUUAGAAAAUUAUGUUGCUAACUUGGCUGUUGAUAAUGGCAUAGGCUUUUCUGAUGCUGACCUGACACCAGCAGGAAAGAAUCAUAAUAAAGCUUUGCAUAUCUCCAUUGAGUGUAAGGGGAUCACCUUGUCUCAUGUGUUGAUCGAAAAUGGCUCUUCUUUGAAUGUGCUACCGAAAGCUGUGCUCGAUAAGCUUGACUGUAAAAGCAUUGAACUGAAACCUAGUGACAUUGUGGUGCGUGCUUACGAUGGUGCGAAGAGUGUUGUCCAUGGUGAAGUGGUUCUCCUUAUCAAGAUAGGACCUCAAGUCUUCAACACUACCUGUUACGUAAUGAACAUCCGUCCUGCCUACUCCUGCUUGCUGGGACGCCCUUGGAUCCAUGGGGCAAGUGUUGUAGCUUCGUCUCUCCAUCAAAAGCUGAGGUAUCCAAUAGAGGGCAAGAUUGUCACUGUGUGUGGAGAAGAAUAGUAUAUUGUCAGUAGUGUGUAUGCCUUCAGAUACGUCGAGAUGGAUGGUGAAUUCUUUGAGACUCAUUCUCAGUCAUUUGAAGUAGUUCCUCCGACCAGUCAUGUCCUUAAGCCAACUUCCCGUGUGCCCAAGGUUAUUCGUGCUCCUCCUUCUAUGAUUUCUCUGAAAGAUGCUCAAGCCGUGGUUGAAAAUGGUGGUCGUACUGGCUGGGAUCUACUGAUCGAUGUACCGUACAAGUCUGAUAAAUCUAGCCUGGGGUUUAGCUCUGAAAAGAUGGUCAAAGACCAGAUUAAUGCUGUAGAAGAUGUUGAUAGUGAUUGCGACUUGGAUAGCUGGAUUUUCCCAACAAUUGGUGACGGACUCAAUAAUUGGAAGGCUGAAGACACUAUCCCAAUUUCCUUUAGUCAGGAGUAAUUGUUAUUGCUAUUUUAGUGUUUCAAAUUUUGUAUUUUUUUUAAAAGCAUUAUGUCUAUACCCGGGGCACAAUAGAUAAUUUUUCAAGGGUUUUGUCAUUUUCAUAAGCAUAUUCACAUUCAAUAAAUCAAUGGACCUUUUGCAUUCAAAUAUUGCGCUCUUUAUCUUUCCUGUCAUCCUUCAAAUAAGCUAUGUUUUCUUACACACACUCACGUAACAAAUUGCAGAUCCAUAUCCACUCUGGAUCCUGUUGAUAAUAAUUCUGCUACUGUUAAUUAUGGCUUUGAAAAUCCGAUCUACCAAGCCUCACACACUCACGUAACAAAUUGCAGAUCCAUAUCCACUCUGGAUCCUGUUGAUAAUAAUUCUGCUACUGUUAAUUAUGGCUUUGAAAAUCCGAUCUACCAAGCCGAGGAUGGAAGUGAGGAAGAUUGAGAAGUGCCUGGAGAGCUUUCCAGACUGUUACUGCAAGAAGAAAAGACUAUACAGCCGCAUGAGGAAUCAAUUGAAAUUGUAAAUCUGGGUACUGAAGUAGACAAGAAAGAAGUCAAAAUAGGAGCAAGCUUGGAAAACAGUGUCAAAGAAAGGUUGAUUCAGAUGUUACGUGACUAUGUAGAGAUUUUUGCUUGGUCUUAUAAAGACAUGCCAGGACUGGAUACUGAUAUAGUAGUACAUCGUUUGCCGAUGAAGGAAGACUGUCAUCUUGUUAAGCAAAAGGUUCGUCGCAUGCGUCCUGAAAUGUCUGAGAAAAUCAAAGCCAAGGUUAUGAAACAAUUUAAUGCAGGUUUUCUAGCUGUUACUUCUUAUCCUCAAUGGGUUUCUAAUGUGGUACCAGUGCCAAAGAAGGAUGGUAAGGUGCGAAUGUGUGUAGAUUACAGAGAUUUGAAUAAAGCAAGUCCCAAAGAUGACUUUCCACUUCCGCACAUUGAUGUUCUGGUAGAUAACACCGCUCAACACAAGGUAUUCUCAUUCAUGGAUGGAUUCUCAGGUUAUAACCAGAUUAAGAUGGCACCUGAAGACAUGGAGAAAACUACGUUUGUGACGCAAUGGGGCACUUUCUGUUACAAAGUAAUGCCAUUCGGUUUAAAGAANNNNNNNNNNNNNNNNNNNNNNNNNNNNNNNNNNNNNNNNNNNNNNNNNNNNNNNNNNNNNNNNNNNNNNNNNNNNNNNNNNNNNNNNNNNNNNNNNNNNNNNNNNNNNNNNNNNNNNNNNNNNNNNNNNNNNNNNNNNNNNNNNNNNNNNNNNNNNNNNNNNNNNNNNNNNNNNNNNNNNNNNNNNNNNNNNNNNNNNNNNNNNNNNNNNNNNNNNNNNNNNNNNNNNNNNNNNNNNNNNNNNNNNNNNNNNNNNNNNNNNNNNNNNNNNNNNNNNNNNNNNNNNNNNNNNNNNNNNNNNNNNNNNNNNNNNNNNNNNNNNNNNNNNNNNNNNNNNNNNNNNNNNNNNNNNNNNNNNNNNNNNNNNNNNNNNNNNNNNNNNNNNNNNNNNNNNNNNNNNNNNNNNNNNNNNNNNNNNNNNNNNNNNNNNNNNNNNNNNNNNNNNNNNNNNNNNNNNNNNNNNNNNNNNNNNNNNNNNNNNNNNNNNNNNNNNNNNNNNNNNNNNNNNNNNNNNNNNNNNNNNNNNNNNNNNNNNNNNNNNNNNNNNNNNNNNNNNNNNNNNNNNNNNNNNNNNNNNNNNNNNNNNNNNNNNNNNNNNNNNNNNNNNNNNNNNNNNNNNNNNNNNNNNNNNNNNNNNNNNNNNNNNNNNNNNNNNNNNNNNNNNNNNNNNNNNNNNNNNNNNNNNNNNNNNNNNNNNNNNNNNNNNNNNNNNNNNNNNNNNNNNNNNNNNNNNNNNNNNNNNNNNNNNNNNNNNNNNNNNNNNNNNNNNNNNNNNNNNNNNNNNNNNNNNNNNNNNNNNNNNNNNNNNNNNNNNNNNNNNNNNNNNNNNNNNNNNNNNNNNNNNNNNNNNNNNNNNNNNNNNNNNNNNNNNNNNNNNNNNNNNNNNNNNNNNNNNNNNNNNNNNNNNNNNNNNNNNNNNNNNNNNNNNNNNNNNNNNNNNNNNNNNNNNNNNNNNNNNNNNNNNNNNNNNNNNNNNNNNNNNNNNNNNNNNNNNNNNNNNNNNNNNNNNNNNNNNNNNNNNNNNNNNNNNNNNNNNNNNNNNNNNNNNNNNNNNNNNNNNNNNNNNNNNNNNNNNNNNNNNNNNNNNNNNNNNNNNNNNNNNNNNNNNNNNNNNNNNNNNNNNNNNNNNNNNNNNNNNNNNNNNNNNNNNNNNNNNNNNNNNNNNNNNNNNNNNNNNNNNNNNNNNNNNNNNNNNNNNNNNNNNNNNNNNNNNNNNNNNNNNNNNNNNNNNNNNNNNNNNNNNNNNNNNNNNNNNNNNNNNNNNNNNNNNNNNNNNNNNNNNNNNNNNNNNNNNNNNNNNNNNNNNNNNNNNNNNNNNNNNNNNNNNNNNNNNNNNNNNNNNNNNNNNNNNNNNNNNNNNNNNNNNNNNNNNNNNNNNNNNNNNNNNNNNNNNNNNNNNNNNNNNNNNNNNNNNNNNNNNNNNNNNNNNNNNNNNNNNNNNNNNNNNNNNNNNNNNNNNNNNNNNNNNNNNNNNNNNNNNNNNNNNNNNNNNNNNNNNNNNNNNNNNNNNNNNNNNNNNNNNNNNNNNNNNNNNNNNNNNNNNNNNNNNNNNNNNNNNNNNNNNNNNNNNNNNNNNNNNNNNNNNNNNNNNNNNNNNNNNNNNNNNNNNNNNNNNNNNNNNNNNNNNNNNNNNNNNNNNNNNNNNNNNNNNNNNNNNNNNNNNNNNNNNNNNNNNNNNNNNNNNNNNNNNNNNNNNNNNNNNNNNNNNNNNNNNNNNNNNNNNNNNNNNNNNNNNNNNNNNNNNNNNNNNNNNNNNNNNNNNNNNNNNNNNNNNNNNNNNNNNNNNNNNNNNNNNNNNNNNNNNNNNNNNNNNNNNNNNNNNNNNNNNNNNNNNNNNNNNNNNNNNNNNNNNNNNNNNNNNNNNNNNNNNNNNNNNNNNNNNNNNNNNNNNNNNNNNNNNNNNNNNNNNNNNNNNNNNNNNNNNNNNNNNNNNNNNNNNNNNNNNNNNNNNNNNNNNNNNNNNNNNNNNNNNNNNNNNNNNNNNNNNNNNNNNNNNNNNNNNNNNNNNNNNNNNNNNNNNNNNNNNNNNNNNNNNNNNNNNNNNNNNNNNNNNNNNNNNNNNNNNNNNNNNNNNNNNNNNNNNNNNNNNNNNNNNNNNNNNNNNNNNNNNNNNNNNNNNNNNNNNNNNNNNNNNNNNNNNNNNNNUAGACUGAUUACUGAACUCUGCCGCAGUUCAAAAAAACACACAACUUUUCUCCGUACGGUCAAAGAUGAAUGGCGUUGAUACGAAGCUGCUAAUAAGAAUAUUUAGAAGAUUAUACAAAAGAUGACCGUAAAUACAAAGACUGGCAUGAGAUGUACCAUUUUCUCUUCAUGGUUAUCGCACUUCAAUACGCACUUUGACAGGGGAAACUCCUUUUCUUAUCACGAAUGAGCCGUAUUUACAGUGGAAGUUCAUAUUCCCUCUCUAAGAAUUAUGAAAGAUGCAGGCUUAGAUGAAGAUGAAUGGAUUCAGACUCGACUCGAUCAGAUAAAUUUGAUUGAUGAAAAGAGACUUGCGGCUGUUUGUCACGGACAAAUAUCAGAAGCGCAUGACCCAGGCAUUUAAUAAAAAAGUCAAGAGACAGGUGUAUCAAAUUGGCGACUUGGUGAUAAAGCGUAUCAUUCUACCACAAGGUGAUCCUAGAGGCAAAUGUACUCCCACAUACGAAGGGCCAUUUGUAGUUAAGAAGGUAUUCUCUGGUGGAGCCAUGAUGCUUACUACAAUGGAUGGCGAAGAUUUCCUGCAUCCCGUGAACGCGGACAUAGUUAAAAAAUACUACGCAUAAAAGAGACCCGCUAGGUUGACAUAUCUAGACAAAAGUAAACGCAUCCCGACGAACCAAAAGGGUUUGGGCAAAAAUUAGGGAUAAACAUAUAAAAAUGUACACCCGGCAAGUUGAAAACCUGAAAAGGCGGCUUGGGCAAAAAGGGGUAUCCUGGUGGACUGAAAACCUGAAAAGGCGGUCCAGGCAAAAAUUAGGGAUUAAAGUGUAUGACUAUGUCCCGUUCUCGUUCAGCUUCACCAAAGUCAAAGGGACUGAGCAAGCCAAUCACUUCUAUCUGACAGCAAGGGAUGAGAUGCUCGAAGACAUAAUAGCAGUAACAGAAUUUAAAUCAAUAGGACUUUUUCUCAUAGCUGUUUUUUUUUCUUCGCUUCCUUGACAAUUUUCUCUUACUAGGAUUUUUGUCUCCUUGUAUUAAAAUUACCUAUUUAUAGGCCCUCUUUUAAAAUCAAUACAAUUUUAUUUCCAAAAAGAUACUUUUGUUUUACUUUCUCCGUUUUGCUUGCAUAAACGUCCAUUGAUUUAAUUCGAAUUAAUAUAUGCAUGUGAAUAUGAUUGAUGUUUACCGAAAAUACAUGCAUAAAAUAGAAAUAGCAAUUACUAAAAGACUUUAGGAUCAAGGAUAAGGUUUAACCAUGCGUUCUAACAAAUCCGGUUGCAAAUCCUAUUCCCCAACAAAACCAGUUAUUUAUGUUUACCGAAAAUACAUGCAUAAAAUAGAAAUAGCAAUUACUAAAAGACUUUAGGAUCAAGGAUAAGGUUUAACCAUGCGUUCUAACAAAUCCGGUUGCAAAUCCUAUUCCCCAGCAAAACCAGUCAUUCCCAGAAGAAAUUGGCACUACUAGACAGACUAGUCAUCUUUGUUAUCCCCAGUCAGGUUCUGUUGAAUAUUUCUACCAUCAGACAGAAAUCAAAUAUCCCCAGCUAAGAAAGGGUUAUCAAUACAAAUAUCUCCGACCAGAAUAUCGGGAUUUAUUUUCCCAUGGCAAAAAUUUUCAGACACAUAAUUCAUUCAUACAUCAUUUCAUAGCAUAUGCACGCACGCAAUGUUCGCAUUUAUUUUCAAGAGCAUAAAACAUCUCAUGCAUCAUAACAUGGCAUGAAGCUGACUUUUUUUUCAGGUUAAUUAUCCUCCUGAUACAGUCAAAAUAAAGAUUCAUUCAGACGGAUCUUUAUCGAUUACAUUCAAGAUUCAUAUACAUUUUCAGAUAUAAUCCAUAUGAAUAUUCAUUCUGACAAACAUUAUGAUAUCCUCCUAAUGAUGGCAUCUUUAAGCCCAUCCCAGACAUUUAUUGCAAAUACAGCAUAUACAAAUAUUAUCAGAUAUAGCCUAACGUAUGGCUCAUUCUGAUUCAGCCUAACGUAUGUUCCUUCAACUGUCCAAAUACGGUCUACGUAGACCCCCAUUUGGAUAUUCAUCCCCUCAGAUACUACCUAGCGUACAGUACAUUCUGAAAUGUAGUCUAGCAUAUGACUACCCCUUUUAUCAUCAGAUACAGCCUAAUGGACGGCUCAUUCUGCUACUCAGAUACGAUCUAGCGUACGAUCCAUUCUGAUCUUUAUUUCUCCAGAUACAGCCUAAUGGACGGCUCAUUCUGCUACUCAUAUAUGAUCUAGCGUAUGAUCCAUUCUGAUCUUUAUUUCUCCAGAUACAGCCUAACGGACGGCUCAUUCUGCUACUCAGAUACGAUCUAGCGUACAAUCCAUUCUGGUCUUUAUUUCUCCAAAUACAGCCUAACGAACGGCUCAUUCGGCUACUCAGAUACUACCUAGCGUAUGGUACAUUCUAAAAUGUAGUCUAGCGUAUGACUACUCUUUAUCCCAGAUACAGCCUAACGGACGACUCAUUUUGCAACUCAGAUACGAUCUAGCGUACGAUCCAUUCUGAUCUUUAUUUCUCCAUAUACAGCCUAACGGACGGCUCAUUCUGCUACUCAGAUACUACCUGGCGUACGGUACAUUCUAAAAUGUAGUCUAGCGUAUGACUACUCUUUAUCCCAGAUACAGCCUAACGGACGGCUCAUUCUGCAACUCAGAUACGAUCUAGCGUACGAUCCAUUCUGAUCUUUAUUUCUCCAGAUACAACCUAACAGACGGCUCAUUCUGCUACUCAGAUACUACCUGGCGUACGGUACAUUCUAAAAUGUAGUCUAGCAUACGACUACUUGUUAUCUCAGAUACAGCCUAAUGGACGGCUCAUUCUGCUACUCAGAUACGAUCUAGCGUACGAUCCAUUUUGAUCUUUAUUUCUCCAGAUGACCAAGAGGAACAACUUUCACGUUGAACACUGUUUCAUUUGAACCUUGGAUCAUUUUGAAUUUUGAGGUGGAAGUUUGGAAAACCAAACAUAUAAAAAAAAUCGAAGUACCAAGCCAUAUGUUCACUUCUUCCACCUUGAAUAACUUUUUCUAUGGGUUUCAAAUGAGAUAAUUUCCUUCAUAAAAGUUGCAUAUAUUUCAAAUAACUUCAAUUUGGUAACACAUUUGACCUCAUUUGGAUUAAUCAUGAAGGGGUUAUGCAUUUUAGAAGUUGAGGAACAUCACUUGUUCAAUGGUAUUGACCCAAAAUGACCUAUAAUGUUUCCUCUUGGCACAUGCAUUUGCAAGUUGAAUUUGAACUUCCUCAAAACAUAAAAGUUGAAGUAGACAUAUUUAAUUCGAUCAUGGAAUUUGAAUGGCUUUCAUAUCAUAAAAAUUGAGCAAGUUAUGAGCUUGGGAAGUUGACCUCCAAAUUAAGAUUUAGACAAAAUGACCUAUAAUCUCUCACCAUAAACAAUGACUUUCCAAGUCAAACUAGCUCUUUACCUCAACAUGAAAGUUGUUUGGAAUGUCAUUUAGAGUAACGUUUCUCUUGGAAUCAUUUUCAUAUGAUAAAAAUUGUAGGAGAUAGGGUCUAGGGACCCCCAAUUUUGACUAGUUGAAUUCCUCUGGUCAACCACCAUGAACCAACUUGCUAGCUUGAUAUUCUCUUGACUUUUGGGACUCAUGGAGGAUCAUAUAUGCAUAAGAUGAUGUAAUGUGAAGUAUACCUUGAAAUAUUUAAUCAAUUGGUGAAGAAACUCAUUGAAGAAGUCACACAAGAUACCCAGAUGAAUUAGGGUUUCUAAGGCAAACAAACUCCAAACUCUUGAUGAUUUCUUGAUCAAAAUAACAUGUGAAGAUCAUGGGGAUUCAUAUAUGACAAUUAGAUCCAAUUUAAACCACUUCUUGAUUUAGCUCCUUACAUUUAGGGUCUUGAACCCUAUAUAUGAGUUUGAUAGAGCAUAAGUGAGCAUGUGCUUUACCUACAAAAGAGUUAAACUAUACAUUGACAUAUUUUUGGUAUUUGGGUUAGUAAAUGAUAAAAAACAAAGUAUGAUACAAUCAAAUGUGCUUGGUGAUCUCUCCCAAUGCAAACUCAAUGAAUGGGGGUAAGGAGGAUGCCAAGGUGUGAUCCUAAUGUCAAUGCAUGUGAUGAGAUAGCAUGAGGAAUCUUAGGAUCAAAAUUGGGGUCUUACAGGAGCUUCGAUCAAGUGUGUGUGUGUUGGGGGGGGGGGGGCCGGGGGCGGUUCAUUUGUUAUAGAAAUCAAAAUUGGAUCAAAUUGUCAAAUAAAGAGCUGUCAUCAUCAAAAAGGGGUAGAAUGUGAAGACAAGUUUCUCAAAGUGUUUUGAUGAAGACAUGAUCAACAAAUAUGCAUUGCAAAAAGAAUGCCUCAAGACUCAAGCACAAGCUUCUGUUUUAAAAGCAUUUCAAAGUCUUGAAUAUUUCUAUGGAUUUGAUCAAAGUGUUAAGGUAUUAAGUUCUCAAUCUCUUUAUGAUAAGUCAAGUGCUCUAGUUUUUGAAUCCAUUCAUAUCUUGUUUAUUUAGGGCUCUUAAAUUUUUCUGUUUUGCAUUUCACUUCACUUUCAAAUGCAUUCUGCCAUUCUGUCUAUGUGGUAAUCGGUUACAAGUAUUUAGGUAAUCAAUUACCAGUUAUGCGUGCUGCCUUGUGAGACAAAUUUUGCAGCAUGUAGUUGAUUACAUCUUUUGGGUAAUCGAUUACACAAUUCAUUUUUUCAAAAUUUUUUAACGUUGGCUCAGGUGUAACUGAUUACACCAUAUUGGGUAAUCGAUUACCACUGAACCAGUGGCAGAAAACAUUGCAUUCUUUCAUGAAUUUUUUUAUGAAAUGUGUUCUUGAAGCAUGGCAUCCCUUCAUGUAUCAUAACCAUUUAGAGAGGUGUCUAAGGGUUAUAUAUAACACAUUUCUACAGAAUUUGAGAACACCUCCUUCUCACAAACAUUUUCAAACAAUCUUCUUCAUUUAUCUUUUCAAAUUAUUUCAAGUGUUCUUGAUUAAAUUUUCUGGUGAAACUUUUUACACAGAAUUUUCAUACACAUUUAUAUAGUUUCGUCCAUGUCAUCAUUAGAGAACUUUGUUUGUCAUAGAGAAGUUUGAUUACUUUAAAGGAGAAUAUCAAUCAAUAGAUUGAUAGAUUAUUCCAUUUGUCAAAAACUUGUAAAAACUCAUAUUGUUGUGUUUUUCCUUGUUGUGCAGGAUUGUUAGAAAUAAUAGGAUCAUUAAAAGGGAGGAUCGUUCUCUUUUGAACUUAGUAAAAAUCCAAGAGGAUUAUUCUUGGUUUGAUUGUUAGUGUCUAUAUAGAAAGAAUAGGAAGAGUCUUGUAAAAAUCCUAACAAUAGUAAAAUCUCUUUCACAUUGAAAGGGGACUGGAGUACUCUCGAUCUGUGAGGGGAACCACGAUAUCUCUCCGUGUUCUUUACUUUCUGCACUUUAUUGUUCAUUGUAUAACCUAACCAGAAAAGAAAGAACAAGUUUUCAUAAAACCGGAGAAAAAAAAAUUCAAAGAACCUAAUUCACUUUCUGAGCAUGCGUGAUGAAAGCGUGACACAUUGGGUGUAACAAUUCUUGGAAUUAGGUCUAAACUCUUACGCUCCCCCAUCUGACUGUGUAUUAUCUUUUUGUCAUAAUUAUAAGAUUUUCUAUAUAAACCCACUUCACUCACAUUUUCACACUACGCGCACAUCUCUCCCACACUUUAAGUUUUCAAACCUUAAAACAACCUCUUUUUUCUCUCUACAAAUGUUCUUCAUCUUCAUCUUUUUCAAAUAAAAUGGAUGAUCAACAACAAAAAUCUCCAAGCUCCUCAAAGGCAACUGAAAGCAACAACAUGUUGGAAUGGGAUUCCUGAGUUAACCCUUCACACUCCAGUAAAUGAGUUAACAGUGCAAUGUGAAACCAUUGUUGAUUUCAAAAACCUAAAGGAUAACAUUUUUGAUUUCACUGAAACUUUGAAUGUUCAAGGAUGGAACACCUUCUUCGAGAUACUUACGGGCCUAGUUUAACCUGUGUCAGUAAAGCAGUUUUGGGUUCAUGCAACUGCUGAGAAGGAAACUAUCACUUCCUAUGUCAUGAAUAGGAAUAUAGUCAUCAUUGAGAAGUCCAUAGCUGAUCUCAUUGAUCAUGGUGGUAAAGGGAAGAGGGUUCACAGUGCAACCAUCACUGCUAAGAGAGAUAUUGUCAUUUCUCCUGUCAUCUUCAAGUAAGAAACCAACUUUGUUGAUGAAAAGGGUCCUAGUGCUAAGGACUUAACAAGAAACCUAAGGGUUUGGUUCAAGAUCAUUUUGGGUUGCAUUAACCACAUGCCAAGUACAAAUAGUUCUAGCUACAUUAACACACGUAAUAAAUUCAUGUUAUUUCUUCUAGAGAAGGGUGCCAAGCUGGGACUUCCAUCACUCCUGUUUAAGUUCAUGAGGAAUUCUAUCAUAGAAUCUAGAACUGGUGGAUCAUCCAAGAAGUCUAGGAGAAAAUUCAUUCCCAACGACAGAUUGAUUUCUGAUAUCCUUGUGGAAAGUGGUUUGGUGGAUGACCUUCUAGUCAGUGGUUUGACAGAAGAGCUGGUGAAGGAUGCUGGUAAAGUCUUAUGGGGGAAGAAUCUGAAGAUUAUGGGUCUUAUCUCCAAAUUUCAAAGGCCAAAUGUCAUUCUAACUAAGGAUGAUAUAUGUGGUACAAGAAAUCCCAUUGAUAACUACCCUUUAUUAACCAAAAUUGACCCUCCACAGGUUCUGAUGGCUUAUUUGGAAAGAUGUCUGAAGGAAGGAAUUCAACCUCUGGUGGAUCCUUUUAACCUUCCAGAAACUUACCAUGAUGUUCAUGGAAAGAGAAAGAAGGAGUUCAUAUGCAAAGGAUCUUCUAGGGCUCAGAAGAAGAAGAAGAAGAUUGUUAUCUUUCAAGAUGAAGAUGAGGUACCUCUAAGUGAGCGCCAGAAGGCAAUGAUUCUGAAGGAUACUUCUCGAGUCGUCCAGUCUUCAAGAGUUUCUAGGAAGCUCCCUUCUGAUAGCACUCCUUUAAAUUCUGAUUCAAUCUCUUGUGAAAUCAUCUUACAAAUCCCUCCUCCAUUUCAAUCCACUAUUUUUGAACCAAUCCCAAUUCCACCACAGAAUCAAAUCCACCAAUGUCAACUCCAAUCAUAGAAAUUCCGCCACCAAUAUCAAAUCCCAUAAUAGAAACUCCUGUUACAGAAACUACCAUCACAUAAACUCCUUUAUUUUAUGCUCCUGUUUUAGAAUAACAGCAUAUACCACCACCAUUAUCUCCACCACAGUUACAAAUUUCACCUAUCUCACCACCACCNUUUGGAGAUCAAAAAAUUGAAAUAAAAAUUAAAAAAGGAAAUGAUUGAAAUAAUAAAACACGGAAAUGGCAAAUUUUGUAAUUAUUUUGGUCCCUUAAGUGAACAUGUCGCGUUUCAAAAAAAAACUUUAAAAAGGGGGGUUUUUUGUGUCAUCCUGUGAUUGGCUCAUGGCAAUAAACAGUGAAAAGAUGCAAAACAAAUUCCAGCGAGCAAACACGAUUUUCUGGGUUUGUUAAAUUUAGGGUUUAUGGCUACGAGUGCCAUGUUCAUCAUCUUCCAGAUUUUCCAGCACAACUUUGUUGCAAUUAAAAUCUCACAAAUGGACAUACCAACAUGUUUCAUCUAAUCAUGUACUUCAUCAAAUCAACCACGAUUUGGACCAACCAAACUUUCAAAACAGUGGUUUCUCUUCGCAAUAUGUAACCAUUGUCUCACGAUCCAAAGUUCAAAAUAAUCAGCAUCGGCAGAUUUCUUUAUAAGGCAUAGCAUGAUUAUUAAGAAUAGCAGUUGAUUCGAAUUUUUACCAGAUUUGCAGAACAGUGAGAUUUGGUAGGUUUGUUUGGCUGUGUUAUGCACGAAACAGAUGGUCCAAUGAUGUCUCGCAGAUUGAUGAAUGUAUGAGUAUGAAAGCCCAGUUACUCAAUUCCAGCUCAGAUCAACUGCCAUGAAAUGGUUCAAUGCAACAGUGUUGUUGUUCUUGCUGUACAAACUAAGAAAUAAUACGUUGCUAAAGGGCUUCCAAAAAGGAGCAUUGUGAUGAAAACAAUCAACAAGACUCGCGGCUCUUUGAAGAUUUUCAAGAAAAAAGUCAAGUGAAAAAUAGAGCUGAGAGAAAUGAGUUUGAUUCUGUUUUGUGAAAUUAGUGCUUAGGGCUUUUCAUCAGAAAAGGAAGCUACUCUACUCUGUUUUAGUAUGCUAAGUUUGGUUAAAGGAAGUGUUAAUUGCAUUAGCUCAAAAUGAAGUGUUUUGGGUUAAUGUGGAUUUCACUCAAAUGGCAAGGUGCAUAGCUACAUGCGAAUUUGGGCUCUAAGCACAUCCAAAUGUGAUUUCUGAAACAUUUUCAAUUGGUACAAAAUGUGGAACAAUGAUUAAUUUGAAAGGUCAUUUUUCACCUCAACCUCUUUUUUAUUCAUCCGUGUACUUGAAAAGACCAUUUUUGAUUGGUUGAGUUUUUGUAAAUGUGCAUGAAGGAUUUGGAUAGAGCAAGCAUCAAAUAUGACUUGGAGCAAAAACCUCACUCAAUUUGGCAAAUGGUUUGGAAGCAUAUGCCACUUUGAAGUUCAAAAUUUGUUGAGAAUGAAUUUAAUUCAUUACUUUUGCAACCAUAUAAUGCCCGCAGGAAUGAAGGUUCUUGGACUUUUGGAAAGGGACGAGAAAAGAUCUUCAAACUUUCAUGUUUGGACCAAAAAUUUCAUUGAAGCUGUAUGAUGAUGUAAUGUUGAGAGAGAAGAACUUUCCAUUUUGUAGGCAAAUUUCCAAUUACAAGGCACACUUUCUAUUUUUGGAAAUUUCUUGGUCUGACUUCAAUUCUUCACUUGGAGUUGGACAUGUUAUAUGAGGCUAUAUGGAUCAUGAAUGAGACUUCUCAGCACCAAUCCCACCAUCAAUUCACUGAUUAAGAUGCACAGUUGACCACAGUUGACUUCUGUUGACUUUCGCUAGGUUUUGUGACUGAACCUGUUCUGAUUGAAUUCCAAAGCCCCUACCACUUGAUAUUUGAUCCAAAAUGUCACAACUCAUAUGAACUUCUGAUGAAUGAUUUCAUGGGUGCCCCAAUUCUUUCAAGAUGGCCACCAUCCACUGCUUAAUGACUGGUUUGACUGAUUGGAUCCUAAUUGGCUUCAUUGCACAGCUAACAUGGUAGAUGACAAUAUUUUUGUACCUUUGGUUUAAUGAACAGAUGAAAAAGCAAUGAUUAUAAAAUGCAAUACAUGCUUUGUGAUUCAAGAACCACACUCACAAGAUAACCCACCCACUAGAGGGAGGGAAGCAAAGUGUGUUACAAAGGAUCCUUUGAGCAAUGAUAUGAUAUGAUAUGAUGCCAUAGGGAUCUUAGGGACAAAAUUGGCGGUUUUUACAAUGACCUUCUAGUCAGUCGUUUGACAGAAGAGCUGAGGCUGAAGGAUGUUGGUAAGUCUUAUGGGGCAAGAUCUGAAGAUUAUGGGGUCUUAUCUCCAAAUUUCAAAGUUCAAAUGUCAUUCUGACUAAGGAUGAUAUAUGUGGUACAAGAAAUCCCAUUGAUAACUACCUUUAUUACCAAAUUAUGACCCUCCACAUGUUUGAUGCUUAUUUGGAAAGAUGUCUUAAGGAAGCGAAUUCAACCUCUGGUGGAUCCUUUUAACCUUCCAGAAACUUACCAUGAUGUUCAUUGGAAGAGAAAGAAGGAGUUCAUAUGCAAAGGAUCUUCUAGGCUCAGAAGAAGAAGAAGAAGAUUGUUAUCUUUCAGGAUGAAGAUGACGGUACCUCUAAGUGAGCGCCAGAAGGCAAUUGAUUCUGAAGGAUACUUCUGGAGUCGUCCAGUCUUCCAAGAUUUCAGGAAGCUCCCUUCUGAUAGCACUCCUUUAAAUUCUGAUUCAAUCUCUUGUGAAAUCAUCUUACAAAUCCUGCUCAUCUCAAUCCACUAUUUCUGAACCAAUCCAAUUCCACCACCAGAAUCAAAUCCACCAAUGUCAACUCCAAUCAUAGAAAUUCCACACCAAUAUCAAAUCCCUAUAAUAGAAACUCCUGUUACAGAAACUACCAUCACAUAAACUCCUUUAUUUUAUGCUCCUGUUUAGAAUAACAGCAUAUACCACCACCAUAUCUCCACCACAGUUACAAAUUUCACCUAUCUCACCACCACCAAAUGUUAAUGCUCCCCAACCAACUAAUCCAAAUUUUACAACACCAGAACGAUCUCCCGCAAGAAGUGUGUUCUGAUGGACACGUUUCUGACGGCACUCCGUGAAGAAUGUUUCAAUUUUUGAAACCAUAAAUCACCUCACCUGAAUCACCUCCUGUCAAUUCAAUCAAUACAUCCUUCUGUUUUUAGGUCAGACUUUAAUGAGUCCAGAAUCAAACUUGCAUUGGAUACCCAAAACUAACAACAAAAUCCUCCCAUGACUUUGGUAAGGCUCUGAAGGAUUUUGAAUCUGAAUCUAAAAGUCGGUUGAAGAAGCAUGACUGUCAGUCGUUCUUCUGCAAAUCCUGCUCGCAAGUGAUUCAGCAUGGAACUUAUAGAAGUUGGAUGAACUUCGAGAUUUCCAAGCUGGAAGGAUCUUGGAAACACUCUUGCUGAAAGCAAUUCCGUUAUGGGUUCGUUCCUUAAUGGAACUAUGGAGCUAAGAAAUUCCCAAGUAUGGCCUUCUUUCUCUAGAAAUCAAGGAAACCUCUCCAGAAGCUAUGGAAGAAGAAGAAGUUUCUCCAGAAACAGAGAUUGUUCAGCACAUUGAGUCUGCUCCAGAACCUACUGCUACUUUUGUCCCUCUCGACUAUGUUAUGGAAGAAGAUCCUACUCAGAUGGUCGUCUCAGAAGCUUCUUCGCCUCUCAGCCUAUUCUGGUUUCUUUUUCUGAGGAUAAUCGAGUAGAUCAAGGUUGAUAAUGCAAAGGUCAAAUGAGCGUGCGGAUAAGCAAGAUCUCAUGUUCCAACUGAUUCUCUCAAGGCUUCCUCCUUUUCCCACUCCUCCACAGAACCCUUAGUUUUUAUUUUCUUUACCUUCUUGAAAUUUCUUUUGUUGUACUCUUGUACUGCCUGUUGGCAUUUUAGUCAAUGAAAAUUGUUUCGUUUCUCUGAUUUUAUUUUUAUCAUUUAUCUUUUUGAUGAUGACAAAGGGGGAGAAAAACAUAACAUUCAAAAGGGAGAAGAAUUAAGUGUUUAUUUUUUGAUGUCUAAUUCCUUAAGUAAAAUCCAAACAUUGUUUAAUGCUUCUGCUAGCAAAUUACUUUGAAAAAGAGUUUGUUAAGUGUUUUGUAGGGUUAUUUCUCAAGAAUCAGAAUGGUUCUGAAAUAUGCUACUUCUAAAAUCUUGGGUUUUUGAAAAAAGUCAAGUUCUGAUAAGAGAGACCUUCAGAAGAAUCAAGGUUCUGAAAACCUUAUCCUUCAAGGAAGAAAAGUUUCUAAAGAAAAGCUUAUGUAGUAAAGCCUAUCAGAAUGAUGAUGUUAUCAACCCGUGUCUGGACAACAUCAACUAACUUCUGAAGAUAAACCAGACUCUGACUGAAUAUUCACUUUGGUGCCUCAAAAAGGUUAAUCAGGAAAGUGUUCUUUCAUUUUGAUUUUAUCUUUAUAGAAUUAUACAUCUCAGGGGAGCUUUUGUGCUUCUGUUAAGAUGUAUUCUUCCUCUAAUAAAGCGUGACACAUUGGGUGGUAACAAUUCCUUGGAAUUAGCGUCUUAACUUCUUACGCUCCCCCCUAUGACGUGUAUUAUCUUUUUGUCAUAAUUAUAAGGAUUUUCUAUUAUAAACCCACUUCACUCACAUUUUCACACUACGCGGGCAACAUCUUCCCACACUUUAAGUUUUCAACUUAAAAACAACCUCUUUUUCUCUCUGCAAAUGUUCUUCAUCUUUCAUUUCUUUUCAAAUAAAAUGGAGUGAUCAAAACAAAAAUCUCCAAGCUUCCUCAAAGGCAACUGAAAGCAACAAACAUGUUGGAAUGGGAUUCCUGAGUUACCCUUCACACUCCAUGUAAUGACUGUUAACAUUGCAAUGUGAAACCAUUGUUGAUUUCAAAAAAACCUAAAGGAUAAACAUUUUUUGAUUUCACUUGAAACUUUGACAUGGUUCCAAGGAUGGAACACCUUCUUCGAGUUACUUACGGGCCUAGUUUAACCUGUGUCAGUAAAGCAGUUUUUGGUGUUUCUGCAACUGUGAGAAGGAAACUAUCACUUCUAUGUCCAUGAAUAGGGAAUAUAGUCAUCAUUUGAGAGUCCAUAAGCUGAUCUCAUUGAUUCAUGGUGGUAAGGAAGGAGGGUUCACAGUGCACCAUCAUUGCUAAAGAGAGGAUGUUGUCAUUUUUUCCUUGUCCAUCUUCAAGAUAGAAUACCAACUUUGUGAUGGAAAAGCGGAUCCUAGUGCUAAGGACUUAACAAGAAACCUAAGGGUUGUUUCAGAUUCAUUUUGGGUUUGCCAUAACCACAUGCCACAGUACAAAUAGUUUCUAGCUUACCAUUUAUCACACGUAAUUAAAUUCAUUGUUAUUUCUUCUAGAGAAGGGUGCCAAGCUGGGACUUCCAUCAAUCCUGUUUAUGUUUCAUGAGCGGAUUUUAUCAUAGAAUCUAGAACUGUGGAUCAUCAAGAGUCUAGGAGCAAUUCAUUCCAACGACAAGAUGGAUUUCUGAUAGCCCUUUGUGGGAAAAGUGUUUGAGUGGGGUGACUGUAGCGUGUAUGGCGUCGAGCACUAUAUGAUUUAUUGAUUUAAAACCCAAAAAACCCCAAGCAUACACAUGAAUUUCGCAGAGUCGCCACCGCCCCACUUUUAUUUAUCCAAAAGGACUGGCUAAAAAAAGCGAACAAAAGCCUAAGAUGUUUUUACACAUAGAAAACUAAUAAAAGAUCAGAGCAGUCUGGUAAGGGUUAAAUUACGCAAUGGGGAAGGUUUAGGCACCCACUACGUCCUAGGUACUCCUAGGGAGACCUUUUCACACAUUGUUGUAUAAAUUGUUAUUUGUUUUGAAAUAUUUAUCGUGCAAACAUGAUUGGGAUAAAAGAUGAGGAAAAGAAUAUACAAUUUUUAUUGUUUUUGUGUCGACGGAUGAACCGUUGGCCACGUACCUUCCAUCAAGGUUUUAAGAUCAAAAAGCCGCUAUUCGGGCUAAAGAUUUCAAAGUUAGACAUGCGAUUUCAAUUAUUAAACACAAGCCUAAGGGUCUUACGUUAUCCACGGGAAAAACUCAACCUUAUACAAACAACGAGAUCCACCAUGUGAAACAGCUUCAAACUUGCUAGUGAAGGGGUUAACCCUAUAAUAAGCAAGGAAGACUUACAAUUCCAUCAAUAAGGACAAAUAGUGAGAUUUAACUCAACCAACGAGGUAUAAAUCAAACCUAUGCGCUAAUGUAUGAAAACUUAAGCAAGAAUGGACGAAGCCACAAAACAAUUGGGAAUGGUGAAGUUGUUACUUGAUUGCCUAUGCAUUAUAUCAUGGAAAGGGGGUCAAAGUUAUGAUUAGCAUUGUAUUCAAAGAAGUAUUAUUGAAAUGGAGGUUUGAAAAAGUCAAGGACUUUGGGGUCCAGGUUUUUAAUUUGAAAGCAUGAAGAUGUUUGCACAAUAUUUAUUCUCAAGUUUGAAAGCCAUGGUGUGAAAAGCGUUUAAGGACAAAUGGCAUGAAUGGAUGAAGAUGGAGUGUAAAACUUCGUAUAGAAGGUUUCACUCUUGAAAUCAUAUUAGAAGAUGCAUUCAAGUGUGUCCUUUGGAAUAGGCAAUGGCAAUAACAAACCAAAGGAAAGAAAGAAAGUCAAAAACAAAGCGCGGAUACCGGAUGCCCAAUUACUGGACUUAUUACCAAUCCCCUAACAGAACUGAGAUAUCAGAGGCCACUCUAUGGGACUUAUUACCAAUCUCCUCAACAAAGAAAUUAAAAAAGUGGAUACCGGAUGCCAAUUCUAUCUGGACUUAUACCAAUCUCCAACAACAAAGCAAACACUUGGAUGUCAGAUGCCAAUCUAUCUGGGCUUACUCUAACUCCAAACAAUGAUUCAUAGGAAAACAAAUGGCCAAUUACACGGACUUACAAUUGCAUCCUCACGAUAAACAAAACAAAUGCAUUCAAGCAAGAGAAGAUGAGUGGCCAAUGAAAUGGUCUUAUACUCACUUCCAUAUCAUAGGAACCAAUGCAAUGAAUGUCUUACAUUGUCCUCAAUGGGCAAACAACAAAGAUAUGUCACAAAGACAAAUGAUAAUGAUCAUGCACUAUUAUACAUAUAUAAUGAUUGAUAAAUGCAGAAAGCAUACAAGCAAACAUGUGCAUAUGAAAUAAGCAAUCAAUCAAAUGAGUCAUUUCAGCAACUCUAUAAACCAAACAAUUAGGCUUCAUACAAAAGGGGUUAGGCAUAAAGCCAACUUGGAAUAGGGUUAAUGCUCUCUUAACUUGCAUGAGAGCCAAGUGAAGAUAGAUGAAAGGAUGUUGAGGGCGUGUCUCAUCACUUCUUAUCCCUGAUCAGGCGAGAGCAUGGCAAUAUCAGAAGGUGUGGAUUCAGAAAGUAGGAACUCUCUCCACAAGUUAUUUGGACUCGGAUAGAAUCUCUGCGUUUUACUCACUAUGCAUCAACACAAGUAGUGUGUGAAGCAAUGUGAGUAGACUCACAAGAAGCAUUAGGAGAUAGGUUACAUAUUCUCUUUUGUCUACCAACUUUGCCAUUAUUCAAAAGGGACUUUUCCUGCUUGGGACAAGUAAACAAGCACAAACAUGCCUCUUAAGGAGACUUCAGACAAGUUGCCUGCCAAGUAACAGACCAGCGUCUUCAGGACUACAUUGAAGAAAAAAAGGAUUCUACCUCAAUGCAAAUUGCUUAUCAAGCAAAGCAAGCAAAGUUCACAGGAACUAAUAGCAACUAAAGUACCUGAAAUCAGUCAAGCACAAUUAGUAUACCAGACCACAACAGUUAAAACAAACAGGCAUAAUGCCAACAGACAAUACAGUCAAGAUUAUGUGCAAGCAACAAGCUCAUUAACAAGUGAGCUAGGCAACCUAACAAAACCCAAAACAAGUUUGUUCAUUGAUAAACAAUCAAACUCAUUCAAACUUGUAUUAUCUCUUUGGAAGCACUUUGUUGCGCUUACCUGAAAAAAAUCAAGCUUAACAUGGAGCUGACAAGGACCACUAGGACAUAGCCUUAGGGUCAAAAGGCAGUAAAAAGUUUAAAACAGAAAGGACAAGUGCCCAAAAAGUCAAGACAAAUCAAUCAAGAAGCAACCUAAGUGGUUUCACAUUCAUAAUCAUUCAUCAUAUCAUAUAUCACAACAAAUUAGUUCAAAAACAUUGUCAUAUAAGAACCUCAAAGAAGUUCACAGAAUGAUUCAACUCAAAUCCAAUCACAACAUUUUCAUAAAUUCUCAAAUAACUCCAUGAUCAAACAUCAUCCAUUAACAUGAUAAGCAUACCAAAUUCAGCUCAUUGGUAUCAAGGGAAGUAGGUCAAUGAAAAUCAGAAAGUCAAAAGCAAGUUCAAACCAACUAUUACAAACAUCAAAAAACAUUCACCAACUUCAAUAAAUCAUUAAAACAGUGACAACACUGAUAAAUGAAUGGGACUAACCAAUGACAAACUUUAAGAUGUCUAAAAUUCACAUGUUCAAAUUUUCAGUCCAUCCAAUAAUGCAUGCCAGGAUCACAAAUCAAAUAGAAAACAUGUGUCACAAAAAGUCAACAAGAUGACCAAACAGGGAGAACAUUCCAAUCAAAUAGAAAUGCCAUCAAUAAUUCCAGAACAAAAUCACAUGUGUUCUAAAAUCCAUAAGUAUGUUCAUGCAAAAAUCCAGACCCAAUUGAGUUCAAUAGCAUGGCAAAUAAAAUCAUGAAGUUGGACAUGAAUGGUUGUGACACAAAUUCGUCACACCCCUAACAAAAAAUCAUAUUUCUCAAUAACAGCAAUUGAUAAAUUCAUAAACUCUACACCAAAAUCACAUGAACAUGUCUAGGUUUAAGCCACAAAAAAUUUCAGCAGGCAUUGGAUAAGUAUCAUUCAUUUCACAAUCAAUUUGGCAAGACACAUAAUGGACACAUUGAACAAACCCUAGCACAUUUUAAAAUCCAACAUGCAAAAAAUUGGAAAAAAUCAUACAUAAAAACUAGAUAUCAUGAAAGCAUUUCCAGAAAAAUCCAUCAAAUUGAUAAAAAAUUGGUGGGACUUUAUGAUUUGGAAGAUUGGAGAUUCAAAAUGAAAUAAAAAUUAAAAAAAUGAAAUGAUUUAAAAUUAAUUUAAAACAACGGAAAAAUGGCAAAAUUUGUAAUUAUUUUGGUCCCUUAGUGAAAUGCCGCGUUUCCUUAAGGUUGUGUGUCAUCCUGUGUUGCUCAUGGCAAUAAAACAGUGAAAAAGCAUGCAAAACAAAAUUCCAGCGAGCCAAACACGAUUUUCUGGGUUUGUAAAUUAGGUUUUAAUUGGCCUUACAGUGCCCAUGUUCAUCAUCUCCAGAUUUGUCCCGCACAAACUUUUUGCAAUUAAAAACCACAAAUGGACAUACCAACAUGUUCAUCUAAUCAUGUACAUCAUCAAACAACCCAUCGAUUAACACUAUAUGAACUAACAGCAAGCAGCAUCGAGCAAAAAUACACAUUUGACCAACCAAAACUUCAAACACAGUGUUUCUCUCUCAAUAUGUAACCAUUCUCACGAUCCAAAAUGUUUCAAAAUUACUAGCAUGCAAGAUCUUUAUAAGGACCAUAGCAUGAUUUUAGAAUAGUGUUGAUGCGAAUUUUACCAGAUUUGCCAGAAACAGUGAUGAUUUGGUAGUUGUUUUGGCUCGUGUAUGGCACGAAACAAGGAUGUCCCAAUGAUGCUCCAGAUGAUGAAUGGUAUGAGGUAUUGAAGCCCAGUUACCUCAAUUCGCAGCUCAAAAAAAGAUCCAACUGCCUGGAAAUGGUUCAAUGCACGUGUUGUGUUCUUGCUGUACAGCUAGAAAUAAAUACAUGCUAAAGCUUCCAAAGGGAUGGCAUGUGAUGAAACAAAUCAACCAAGAUCGGGGCUCUUUGCCAAGAUUUUCAGAAAAAAAAGUCAAUAUCUGUGAAGAAAAUGAGAGCUUGCAGAUGAAAAUGGAGGUUUUUGUUCUGUUUGUUGAAAUAGUGGCUAGGGCUUCUCAUCAGAAAGGAAGCAUAUUUACUUCUGUUUAGUAUGCUAGUUUGGGUUAGAGUGUAAUUGCAUUUAGCUCAAAAUGAAGUGUUUUUUGGUAAUUUUGUGGAUUUCACUCAAAUGCAGCUGCGAUGAGCCUACAGUGCGAAUUUGGGCUUCUAACUGGCACAUCUCCAAAAUGUGAUCUUCUGAACAUUUUCAAUUGCGCUACAAAAUCGUUGGAAAUGGAUAUAAUUUUGAAAAUUCUUUUUCACCUCACCUCUUUUUAUGCAGCUACUGAAAAAAGACCUGUUUGAUUGGUUGAGUUUUUUGGUAAAUGUGAUGAAGGAUUUGGAUAGAGCACUCAAAUAUGACUGUGUAGCCAAAAACCUCACUCAAUUGGCCAAAAUGGUUUGGAAGAUAUGCCCACUUUUGCAAGUUCAAAUUUUUGAGAAUGAUUCUAAAUUUAUAAACCUUGCCAACCAAAAUGAGAAAUGAGUGUUCUUGGACUUUUUGGAAGGGCGAGACACAAGAUCUUCAACUUUCAUUUGUUGGGAUCACAAGAUUCAUUUGAAGCUUGUAUUGAUGAGAAUAUAUGAGGAGCAAGAACUUUCCAUUUUUGGCUAAAUCUCCAAUUAAUGGUUCAACUUUCUAUUUUUGGAAAUUUUCUUGUCUGACUUCAAAAUUCUUCACUGUGGAUGUUGGACAUGUUAAUGAGGCUUAUAUGCACAUGAAUGGAGACUUUCAGGAUCCAAUUCCACCAUCAAAUCACUGAUUUAAAAUGGACAGUUGAACCCAGUGAUUCUGUUGACUUUGCCUAGGGUUUGGCUGACUGAACAUGUUCUGAUGGAAUCCAAGCCCCUACCCACUUGAUAUUCUUGAUCCAAAAUGAUGUCACAAACUCAUAUGAACUCUUGAUGAAUGAUCAUGGUGCCCAAAUCUGUCAAGAAUGGCCCACCAUCACUUGCUUCAAUGACUGGUUGACUGAUUUGGACCUAAUUGCCUUCAUUCUGCACAGUAAACAUUGGUUAGCAUGACAAUUUUUUGUACCUUUGCGUUAAUAGACAGCAAUUGAAAAGCAAUGAUAUACAAAUCAAUACAUGCUUGGUUGAUCAAAGACACCACACCACAAAUAAACCACCACUAGUGAGGAAGCAAGGGUGACUACAAAGACCUUGAGCAAAUGUGUUUAAUAUGAUAUUGAUAUGAUGCCAUGAGGAUCUUAGGAAAAUUUGGGGUCUUACAAUGACCUUCUAGUCAGUGGGUUGACAGAAGAGCUGUGUGAAGCGAUGUGUGGUAAAGUCUUAUGGGGAAGAAUUCUGAAGAUAGGCGUCUUAUCUCAAAUUUCAAAGUUCAAAUGUCAAUUUCUGACUAAAGGUGAUAUAUGUGUAACAAGAAAAUCCCAUUGAUAAACUUACCCCUUUAUUAACCAAAAUUGACCCUCCACAUGUUUCUGAUGGCUUAUUGGAAAAGAUGUCUUAAGGAGAAUUCAACCUCUGGGUGGAUCCUGUUAACCUAUCCAGAAACUUACCAUGAUGUUCAUGGAAAGAGAAAGAAGGAGUUCAUAUGCAAAGGAUCUUCUAGGGCUCAGAAGAAGAAGAAGAAGAUUGUUAUCUUUCAGGAUGAAGAUGAGGUACCUCUAAGUGAGAGCCAGAAGGCAAUGAUUCUGAAGGAUACUUCUGGAGUCGUCCAGUCUUCAAGAGUUUCUAGGAAGCUCCCUUCUGAUAGCACUCCUUUAAAUUCUGAUUCAAUCUCUUGUGAAAUGAUCUUACAAAUCCCUCCUCCAUCUCAAUCAACUAUUUUUGAACCAAUCCCAAUUCCACCACCAAAAUCAAAUCCACCAAUGUCAACUCCAAUCAUAGAAAUUCCGCCACCAAUAUCAAAUCCCAUAAUAGAAACUCCUGUUACAGAAAUUACCAUCACAUAAACUCCUUUAGUUUAUGCUCCUAUUUUAGAAUAACAACAUAUACCACCACCAUUAUCUCCUCCACGGUUACAAAUUUCACCUAUCUCACCACCACCAAAUGUUAAUGCUCCCCAACCAACUAAUCCAAAUUUUACAACACCAAGAACAUCUCCCGCAAGAAGUGUUUCUGAUGGACACGUUUCUGACGGCACUCCUGAAGGAAUGUUCAAUUUUGAACCAUAAAUCACCUCACCUGAAUCACCUCCUGUUAUUCAAUCAAUACAUCGUUCUGUUUUUGGUCCAGACUUUAAUGAGUCCAGAAUCAAACUUGCAAUUGAAUACCAAAAACUAACAACAAAAUCCUCCCAUGACCUUGGUAAGGUUCUGAAGGAUUUUGAAUAUGAAUCUAAAAGUCGGUUGAAGAAGCAAUGACUGUCAGUCGUUCUUCUGCAAAUCCUGCUGCAAGUGAUUCAGCAUGGGAAGCUUAUAGAAGUUGGAUGAACUUCGAGAUUUCCAAGCUGAAGGAUCUUGGAAACACUCUUGCUGAAAGCAAAUUCUGUUAUGGGCUCGUUCCUUUAAUGGAACUAUGGAAGCUAAGAAAUUCCCAAGUAUGCCUUCUUUCUCUAGAAAUCAAGGAAACCUCUCUAGAAGUUAUGGAAGAAGAAGAAGUUGCUCCAGAAACAGAGAUUGUUCAGCACAAUGAGUCUGCUCCAGAACCUACUGCUACUUUUGUCCCUCUCGACUAUGUUAUGGAAGAAGAUCCUACUCAGAUGGUCGUCUCAGAAGCUUCUGCCUCUCAGCCUAUUCUGGUUUCUUUUAUGAGGAUAUAUAAUGCAAAGGUCAAUGAGCGUCGGGAUAAGCAAGAUCUCAUGUUCCAACUGAUUCUCUCAAGGCUUCCUCCUUUUCCACCUCCUCCACAGAACCCUUAGUUUUUAUUUUCUUUACCUUCUUGAAACUUUUCUUUUGUUGUACUCUGUACUGCCUGUUGGCAUUUUAGUCAAUGAAAAUUGUUUCGUUUCUCUUGAUUUAUUUUUUAUCUUUUAUCUUUUUGAUUGAUGACAAAGGGGGAGAAAAACAUAACAUUCAAAAAGGGGAAGAAUUAAGUGUUUAUUUUGAUGUCUAAUUUCCUUAAGUAAAAUCCAAACAUUGUUUAAUGCUUCUGCUAGCAAAUACUUUGAAAAAGAGUUUGUUAAGUGUUUUGUAGGGUUAUUUCUCAAGAAUCAUAAUGGUUCUGAAUAUGCUACUUCUAAAAAUCUUGGUUUUGAAAAAGUCAAGGUUCUGAUAAGAGAGACCUUCAGAAGAAUCAAGGUUCUGAAAACCUUAUCCUUCAAGGAAGAAAAGUUUCUAAAGAAAAGCUUAUGUAGUAAAGCCUAUCAAAUGAUGAUGUUUAUCAAGCCGUGUUGGGACAACAUCAACUAACUUCUGAAAGAUUAAACCAGACUCUGACUGAAUAUUCACUUUGGUGCCUCAAAAAGGUUAAUCAGGAAAGUGUUCUUUCAUUUUGAUUUUAUCUUUAUAGAAUUAUACAUCUCAGGGGGAGCUUUGUGCUUCUGUAAGAUGUAUUCUUCUCUAAUUACCCUGUACAAAGCUGAUCAUCAGAAUACAUAUUUUGUCAUCAUAAAAAAGGGGGAGAUUGUUAGAACAAUAUUUGGUUCUGCAUCUAUACCUUGAGUUUUGAUGAUAACAAUAUUGUAUUUGUGUGAGAACAGUUUUGGUACCCUAACAGUUUGUUAUUGUGUAGCUUUAACAACCAGUUCUGAUACUGAAUAUAUGAUGUGAAACAUCAUCAAUUUCUGAACAAUGUGCCUCUAAAUCCGCUUAUGCGCAAAGUAUUAGAAGUUCUGAAAGAUGUCAUUAUUGAUGCUGCAAUGUUCUUUCUACUUCUGAGUUGUUUCACUCAUUAGAAGCUUCUGAGGAGACUUUAUGUUGCUGCUGCAAUAAUCUCUUAGUUCGUGCUUCUGGAUGUGACUCUAAUAACCAAACUUCUGAAGAAUGGCAAGCUUAUGAAUUUGUGUUAUGAAGCUGAAGAUUCUGAAGAUCUCAAGCCAGAAAGUUAAAGCUAUCAAGGUUCUGACUAAGGAUUCUGAAGACUCUGAAGAUUUUGAAGAUACUGAAGACCUCAAGCCAGAUUACUUACGUUGUCAAGGUUCUGACCCAAGGUUUUGAAGUUUUUGAAUCCAGCUCACUACUUCUUCAUUUCAUGCUUCAAUCAUCUUUAAUCAUAAGCCAAUGAAUUUGAAGAUAAGAUCAAAAUGGGAACGUGAUCAAAUAGUACAUGGUACAAAUCGAACAACUUUUCCACUACCUGAUUUCAUGGGCAAGGGCAGUACUAUACAUCACACCUAUCACUGAAUUUGUGGGCAAAAGGAUAGUACGCAAUACCAUUCCUUUCCCAUCCAAUAGUGGAUAGCCGCUCAAAGGAGCUUUCCCUGUUUUUCCCUUCAAUGGUCACAUGCUUACGUUAUAUAAGCAUGCAUUGGACACUUGAAGAAAACGCUGAUUUGCACAAGUAUUUUGACAAGCUACUUUUCUUUGUGAAAAACUAUCAUUCUUUGUAUACAAAUUUCUUUAAGUGUUUGUUAUUCAUUUAUGUAAAAUUUGCUUGUGUAGAAGUAUCUUGUAACACACUAAAUAAUUUUCAAACUAUUUGUUUGAGUCCUUAAGGAGGUUAUCCUUGAGAAGACAAAGAAAGUUGUUCUUUGUGAGUCCUUAAGGAGAGUAAGGUUUAGUUGGAUCCUUGAGAAGACAAAGAAGGUUAUUCUUUGUGUUUAUUGUAAUAUGUUGAUUGUAGUGGAUUAAUUCUUUGUGUAUAAGGCAAAAUCACCUUGACGGGUGGACUGGAUUAACUUUGAAUUCAAGCGAACUAGGAUAAAAAUCAUUGUGUUUUUAUCUCUUAGUUAUUAACUUGUUAGUGAUGUUUUUGUUUUGGAAAAAUCUUUUGCUUGUAAAACCCAACUCAAACCCCCUAUUUCUUGUGUUUUUCACACCUUUAAUACAUGUAUUUGGCAUGAAUGAGUGCAGAUGAAUCUCAAACCAAAAGUCAGAUGAAAAAUAAAAAGGGGAGGGUAAAUUUUGGGAUAUGACAGGAGGCUUUGGAAAAAAUCAAAGAUCAUGAAGAACAAGAAUGGGUAUAGCUUAGGAAUGAAGGAACUAUAUGGAUUAGGGUCAGGGUUUAGUUGUUAGGUAGUUAACUAUGGUCAACUGGUCGACCAAAAAGUCAACAUUUAACCAAAGUCAACUGUUAGGUCAAAAGUGUGAUUUUGUGUAAAAAAAAGAUUUGUAAUCUGGAUUUUGUAAUGUAAUGGGAUGUUUGAUGGUUUGUAAUACAAAUUAGUAUUUAUAAAUGAACUAUGGAUUUUGUGACUUGUGUUCCCAAUAAUAUGCUUUCCCCCAUAAGCAUGAGUGCUUCAUGAUCAUUUGAAUCUUACCAAAAAUGAAACUUGAUCUUGUAUGAAUGACAUUUCAUGAACCAAGCAAUAAAAAUUAGUAAUCAUUGAACAUGAUCACCAAAAGUUAAAUUUAACAAUGACCUUUUAAAAACAACCAUUCCAUGAUGCAAACCCAACAUGAUCAAAGAUCACACCAAUGAUUAGGGUUUCACGAGAUGAAUAACCCAAUUCAAUGUAAUACAAUCCCAAAGCUUGAUCCCCAUAUAUGUCGUGGAAGUAAACCCUAGCCCAUGAGACUUGCCAAGCCAAUUUGACAAGAAUCCAACCUUUGUGUCAUAAAUAGCAAGAACUUUUGAAUCAAUGAUAUGCAUGCAAUUGUGAAUGAAUAUCUUAUGAUGAAUUAUUAGGGCAUAUGAUCAUGCAGAUGAAAUGAUCCAUAUGCCAGAUGAAAUUGAAAAAAGUAGGGUAAAUUUUGGGGGUAUGAUAGGUAGUAAUUGUCAAGUCGGCCUGACUGAUGUUAUCACUUAUCAGGGUCUUUAUCCUCUAUGGAGAGCUCGGCUUUGACUCCCUAGGAGGAAGAUUGGAGGCAUGCUAGGGCUCUGAAACAACAUGGACUACUUUGAUAAUGUCCAUCUUCUUCCUUUUGAGAGUUCGAGUCUGAAUACCCGACAAAUCGCUCUUAGAGGCAGACUGUUCUCCACGGCUUGCUCUUGCUUCAUUCAUAAACUUCUUUUGUUCUGAUAGUUUAAAAUUCGUCAUGUCAGCUGGAAAGAAAAAGACAAAAUAAAGUUCAGAAAAAUAAAAUAAUAAGGUUAUCAAAGAACAAUAAGGAGCAUAUACAAGUAUUACCCAUGAAUUUAGAAAUUUGUUCUGGGUUGUCGACCACAUGUAGCAAGUCCUUAACUUUGACUACUCGGAAAGCAUCCAAAAUGUCUAAGGCUCAGAUUUCUAGAGCGUUCAACUUACCAUAAUCAAAACCAGAAUCGACAAUGGGCUAUCCGACCAAUAAAUCGAGAAACAAUAGUUCUCGUCCAAUGCAUAUAUAACUUGGGGACACUUUUCCACACUUUUCACUCGAAGGAACUUAUCUUUGAAACCCUUAUAGUUGAUAGUACAAGCCUGAAGGAAUCUCUUCCUUGGAAUUCCGCUGAGGGAGACCCAACCUCUUUUUUCCACUCCCUUCAUCUCAAAGAACGAGAAAAACAAACCUAAGGUGGGAGUUAUAUCUACCGCAUCGCAAGCGAGUUCAAAAGCUUUGAUAAAGCCCCAACCAUUUGGGCGUAACUGAGAAAGGGUUAUAUUUAGGGUUUUGAGGAGGUCAGAUUCAAAAUCAGUAAAGGGGAUACGAACUUUAAAGUCCUAGAUUAUCCCUGUGUAGAAGUACAAAUACUCAUCAAGUACUCCUUUUGGCCGAGUGAUACAGACCCUCUCACCAACCACAUAAGGUUCUAAUACAACAUCCUCCUCGUUCUUAGUGGAGGAAACUGAAAUAUUACAGUGAAGCUUCGAUAUAUAGUUGUCGUCGAUGACAUUGUGGUCGUAGCUUAGAACCUCUUUAUCAAUCAAAGAUCAUGAUGUCUCCAUCAAAGUAUCCAUAAAACUUAAUGACGAAGACUAUGAGUUAGUAUUACUACUAUGUGAAGGGAUCUCGCCAUAAACUUCUCUAAUAAUGUGGUCAAACUCCUCUCGAAUCAGAUGACCCUCACAUUUUUUCAUGCAUUCACUCCAGAUUUUAUUUCUCACAUUAGCAGUAAGAGAAACCGGGUACUUUCCUAAAUAGUCACAAUCUUGUAUUAUAACCAUAACAAGGAAUAAAGAGAGAGAGAGAGAGAGAGAGAGAGAGAGAGAGAGAGAGAGAGAGAAGGCAAAUGAAAACAAUAACAAUGACUUGAGCCUGCAGAAAGAGCGAGUGUUUGAUGAAGCAAAAAGAAACUCAUCAGCAAACACUUGAAGGAAGAUCACUAGCUUUGGCGAACAAACAAAGGAAGAAAAUAGUCGAGUCAUUUUAUUUGAAAUAAGUUUACAACAGUCAAGAAGUUGUAUCGGGCAAAGGUAACGAUGACAAGUUGGAGUUCACACAGUAACUCACCGAAUAGGUGAUCGGCUCAAGAAAGAAGAAAUUCUAAGAUUUUCUUGUUUGGACACUUCAAUCCUAUUAGACCUUGUGAUCGAGGGGCUUAUGUACAUCUCAGAAUUCCCAAAGGCUGAGCUUUUGCAGACCGAGUACAAAGAAGCAAGCAAGUCAGAUAAACAUAACCCUAGACAAGACGGAACCCGGAUAGGGAAAACAUAACUACAAAUUUAGCAUGUCAGAAAUGGUCUCAUAAUAACUCUGGCAGAGGAGCAAGUCGGAUCCGACCUCAUGAAAAGUGCUAGGAAGCUAUAUGAAUAGUCACAAAGGACGGUUACGAAAUAUCUCCAUGAUUGCAUGAGAGUUAUAGAAGUUAAAGGAGAAGUCAUUACUUGGUAGUUAUGGGAGGCGGCAGAUGUUACCAGAGUCAUUUUAACAAGGGAUAUGAAGAGGCAUCCCUUUAAAGGCCAUUGAUGGGCAAAUAAGUAUAAAAGAGAGACUUCCCCAACGAGGAAAGAGGAUAACUAAUACCUCCUAACAAAUAUACCUCCUAAUAAAAUAGGACGAUUGUGACCUCACCUGGUUAGCUUCAGGGAGGUUUCUCCAAAUAGUAUUUAGCAAGAACAAAUAUUUUUUAUGGACCUUUGAUCAGCUCAAACAUAAUGCACGGUCAAAAUUGAUGCUAAGUGAAUGUACAAUUAUGUAAUGUUAAAAGAAAAAUGAGUUAUUAUCUUAAAAAAAAGUGAAUUGCCAGUCAUAUGACAUUUAACAUGUCAUGAAUGCCUUGUUAACUUCGUUAAAUAUCUUUAACUAAUAGAUAAAACUAGUUGAAAAUAUAUUUAACAAAAAUAAGUGUUAAUUCGAAAUAUGGCUUAAAUGUCUUUUUGUUUAUGUAAGUUGAUGAGUUUUUGUUUUAAAUUUUUAAUUUUGUUUUGUUUUGGAAAUAAUCCUAAAUGUUAAAUCUUUUGGUUUUAGUCUUUGAAAUUAAAAAUCGCAUGAAAAUCUGCAGGUUUUCUGCGGAUUUUUCUGAUGAUUUAAAUUUGUAGGUUUCAUGCGAUUUUUUCUUCAAAUUUUUAUGUGGAUUCUCACUUUAGAAACUAAAAACUAAAAUAAUUUUAAUAUUUGGGAACUAUUUAAAAAAAUUUAGAAAUUGAAAAGAAACACGACAACUUAUUUGGAAAAAAAAAUCUUUUUAAAUCUUUUUAAAUCUUUUUUAAAAUAUUUAUAAAAUUGUGAUCCUAUUUAAGAAAGACUUAGAAAGACAUAAAUUAUUUAAUAAUUUUUUUUUGGUUAUUUAUAUUAAUAGUGAAGAAUAUAGAAAAUGUUCACACAAAAAAAAUAUAUUAGAGAAAAUUUAUAAAAAUCUUAGUUAAUGGUGGCCAAUUCACACACCCAACUUAUAGGUCACCAAAUGCAGUUUUGUUACAUACCUUCUUUUUUAAUUUGCAACAAAAAGAAACGUGAUUGGAUAAGGACCCGAAUGCCACGUGGAGAUUGAAGUUUCACAGAAGUGGUGUAUUCACACGUCACAGAUUCCACUUUUCACCUUUUCUAGAUAUAUACGCUUCCUAAAUUAAUUGGUUAUGGAAAUGUCCAUAGAACGAAGUAUCCAUGCAAUGCAACUUUUGGUUCUUUCUGUUAGGCAAAAUUACAUUUUUACCCUUUCUUUUGACCAAUUUUAUUUGUUCUUAUUCUGAAAAUUAUUCCUUCUAGAUUAAUAUGAAUUGAAUAUAGACAGAUAGGCAAAUUUUAGUUUUAAUUCAUUUCAAAAGUUUGUUUCAUAGUAAUAUAUUUCUAGCUAAUUAAACUCCUCUUUUUUGGCAUAUAGUACGUGUAAAACAAAACGAAUCAAAUGAGAUAAAGUGCAUAACGAUUUAACGCGUAAAAGUUGUGUAACAAAAGUGGACCCCACCCCAACACAACAUAUUCUUAUGUGUAUAUAAAACUAACAAACUCAAACGUGUUCAAUUGUGCUUCGAUUUCCACAACCUCACAAACAAAAACCUUUUAAGGUUUCUUUUCUUCCACUGUUGGUUCCAACUCCAAAUCAUGUCUUUCUCUCAUGCAACUUCCAAAUCGCAACCACGCAAGAAAACAAGCUUUACAAAACGGUGUAUUUCUAUGACGAAGCAACAUAGAGGGCGAUUCUAUAUCUUUGGAAGAUGUGUGGCUAUGCUUCUCUGUUGGCACAACCAUACUGUUUCUGAUUAGGUUUUUGUUUUUGAGGUUCAACAGUUAUGGAAGAAGAAGGUGGAAUUGAAGAUAAAUCUUUGAACAAGAUGGCAAUGGCGGCUCUAAUUUUUGAAGAGCGUAACAAAAUUUUGAAUAUAUAUGAUAAUAUGAUUAUAUAUUAUAUAUUAGUUUUUUAUUGUUAGGUUUUCUGGUUUUCAAUAUUUAGUGGAGAUAGUUUUAUUUUAGAAUUUUGGGUACUAAAUGUGAAUUAUGUUUUUGUUUGAUACUGUAGUUAGUUUUGCCGUAUUUUGUUUCUUUUUGGUGACAUAGAAUCAUUGGAUGAUUGUGGUUUAUGUAAAAUCAUAUUAUGGAAUGUAGUUGAUUUGGAGUUUACACAUUUCUAACUAAAAUUAUGAUGAGGCACAGAGUUCAACUUGCAGUCUGCAGCCGAAAAUGCAGCUGCAGUAUAAAGAUUUUAGAGAUCUUAACAAUUGUGUUAGGCAUUAUCAACAAUAUUUGCUACAAUUUCCCCCUAAUUUUAAAGUUGAGAGGAUAAUUAUAAUAAGAGUGUCA